AGUCUUGCAAGGUGGAUUCCUUGUAAAAUGUGGAAUCACUUGUGUUGGUAGUUAGUUUGAGACGUUGAUUGCUUGGGGAACCCAUUCUCUUGAAUUCACGUAAGAGAUAGGUUUAUGUUGUGUGUGGUAUUAAAGGUCCUAGAGUGGAAUAAGAUCUUGGGUUGUUAAUAUUAUACCAUCCAUUUGUCUAUCUUCCUAUCUUUGUCUUUUUGUAAUCUUGUAACCGAUUCUAUGUUGUUAUUGUAAAGUCGUGCACGUGUUGUUGUUCUUCACAUUGUUAUUUUUCAUUUUUAUCUUCAUAAAUUAUUGUUAACAUUAGCUGUGGUUCGGGUUUUGGUGCCAAAGACACCACUAAUUCUUGUAUUCUUGUUGUUGGUAGCGAAUUCGAGAGUGGUCUCUUUCUUGGUCCUCGAAUCCUUAAGAUUAUGGACUGAUUUGGUGUAUAUUUUUGUGUCUUCCUUAUCGAUUUUGUAUCAAUUUAUCAAGAUUCUAUCACAUUCAACAUCAUCAAUGAAUCAUAAUUAAUCCAAAUACACUUUAUCGAGAUUAACCCCUCCCAAAUUUAUUUUCAACCACACGAUUAACCAAUUUCAAUAUAGAAUCAAUCCAUCAGGUCACGACAAUUAUAAAAGCUCAAAUAUACUCAAAACACACUACCAAAUCACAUUAUCAACCACGCUGAGAGAAUAAAAAUGAGUAGAGUUGAGAAUUGAACCUUAAAAGAAUCUUUCAAAAUUAAAGUAUUAUUCUGAUUUAAAGGUAGAAUCUACUUCUGAUAACCAUAACUCAAACCUCAACCAAUGAAACUGCAUCUCGAUACGAACCACCAAAUUGACAAUUCGAUCUCAAACUUUGUUCUGCCCAAACCCGAUUAUUUUUUAUCUAUUUUUGACGUCGACAUUGACAAGUAUUAUUAUUUUUUGGUGGAUUUCACCGGAAGUUGGAAAUGGGAGUCGGAUUAUGAUGUUUUUUGGUGGGUUUUGCCACUGAUUUUUGAUGUAUUUUGAAAUAGUAUGGAGCUGUUUUACUAUUCUCUACUUUGCCAGAGCUCCGACAAGAUCAACAGUAGCGAGAAUCAAAGAAAUAAACUGGUGGUAGCAAAGUUUUUCAAUGAAAACUCAUCGGAAAAAUCUCUCUCACAUUUUCUCUCUGUUUCAUUCUAUUCUCUCUUUUUUUCCUCGAUUUCAAUUCUCUUCUCCGAUGGGGUGUGUAGUUAUGAACUGUGUGUGCAUAUGUCAACAAAAAAUUGAAUUGCGUGUGUAUUCCUCUAAUCUCCACAUCUGUGUGUGCCUAUAUUGGUGUGUUAGUGUUGUGUGUGAAUUUUUUGUGGAUAUUGAAGCUAUGAGAGUGAAUUUAUGUAUGUGAAUCAGUGUAUUUUGAGUAUAUGUGUAGUGAGGUAAGUCUGUGAGAAUUGUGAGAGAUUUUUUUUUUGGGUAUUUGUGAGGUGUAUAUAUUCUAUUGUGUGUGUUUGUUGUGAGUAUUAUGUUUUUAUAUAUGUUCCAGUGAGUGUGAGUGUGUAUAUGUACAACUUUCUGUAUAUGAGAUUUAAGGGGUGUGUUUAUUAUAUGGUGUAUUUUUGUUAAUGGAAUGGUGAGCUAAAAAAAAGUUUUCCUCAUUCUAUUAUUGGAAGUGUGUGUGUAAAAUGUGAGGGGGUAAGAACGUGAGUAGGAGUGGGAUAGGGGUAGGUUGUUAUUUUUUGUUAUGAAUUUAUUGAGAAUUGAUUGUUCUUUUGUGGAAAAAUUAUCACAUGGGGGUAAGGUUCAAGGUAAGACGAUGGUAAAUGCCAAAAAGUUCUCUUUUGGGAGGGAAAAAAUUAUGUGUCUACAGAUAAAGAUUAUAAAAGAAAAGAUCAAAGAUCAAAGAACUUACGCAACUUCAAGAAAGAAUCUCAGUGUGUCUCAAUCUUAGUCUCACAAAGCUUUGUACUUCUUAGUUUACAAUAGUUAUACAAAGAAUAAGAUUGAUUCAAUUUUAUAAUAUAAACUGAGGCCGUUUCACAAGAUCUGAAAAAUAAAAUAAUUCUUCAGGACUUGUUUACCACCAUUGUACUCGAGCUCCACUUUGAUAGAUCUAAGAAAACUUUAAAACCCAAGGGGACUGAAAGUAGGCACCACAUUGGUAUUCUGAACUAGGAUAAAUCUUUGUGUUUUCUAUUUCAAGUUGUUUAUUUACUUAUCUACUUAUUUAAAUCUAAUCUGGUUUGUGAAGUAUAUUGAUUUGCAGGAUAGUCGAUUGAGAAGACUCAACAGUUGACUCAUAGAAAUUUUUAAUUCACCCCCCAUCUCUUGAACUUCAUAUAUAACGUUGAUACACUUUUAAACAUUAUAUAUACAUAUGCAUAUAUUUGUAUAAUUUUGUAUAUUAUUGUGUAAUUGUAUAUAUACCCCUGAUAUAUACAAAAUUAUAAGAGUUGUAUAAUAUAUGCAUAUACAGUACUAUACAAAUAUUAUACAAAAAUUUUGAAUUUUUCUUCUUUAUUUAUUCAAAAAAAUAAAUUAACCUUGCCAAGCUCGAAACACUCAAAAUAAAGUUUAUUUGUCUAUUUCAUUUCCCCAAUACAUACUCAUUCUUUUGAAUCAACACACACUUGAAACAAAGCUUGUUUGCAAAAUCGAUGGAUCACUUGAUACGAGAAUUUCUAGCUCGAGACCUUUCACACGAAGCCAAGCGCGUGAGUUGCAACGACUCCAAGCCUUGUUCACAUCCUUGGCCUUGUGUGAGGCCCUUAUGAGCCCAUCCAAGGGCCUAUACUUAUUAAAAUAUGAAGAGGCCCAACAAAAUACCCCAAACCCACCCACUUAAUGCCAAGGGUAUUUUGGUUUUUUGUCCCUCCUUUGUAAUUGACUAUACAAGUCAUUUGUUAGGGCUAGUCUUGUGGUAGUUCAUUCAUGAUAUUUUGAGAACUCAAGACUUGUAAUAUUUUGAACUUUUCUCUUUCAUUGGAGAAGCUCAAAACUGAAAUUCCCAAUUGGAGUGACACUUGGGUUGAAUCUUGGCUAGAAACUAGGAUCUUGAGGUCAUUGAGUUCCUCUUGGUCUAAUUAAGAGCUUGGUGAUAAUAUUCUUUAAUCUUAGGGUCCUUUCAUGUUGUUAGGGUUCUUAGAUUCUUGAUUAUUAUAUGUCAAGUUACUAUCUUUAAUUUUGUAAUCUUGUUGUUUGUGUGGUAACAUAGUGAAGCCGUGUGGGGCUAUUUUCGAUUCACUAUAGUUUAUGCCACUUUGUUUCUCUUGUUGUUGUCAUUGUAAUCUAUAUCAUCUUGUCAUUUUUGUAAAUCUUGAAGUCUAGUGAAGCCGUGUGUGGCCUAUUUCGAUUCACUGGCAUUGUUGUUGUUUAUCUUGUUAUUCUUGUGUUGGCUUGACUCUCUUGAUACACACUCGCUUUUGUAUCAUUUAGUAUCAAAUCCAUAUUCGAUUUUGUUUUAACAAGAUCAAUCUUGGUCUUGGUACUUGAAAACUACAAAAAAAAACUGAAAACUAAAAAAUUCCAGAAACAGUCAAAUCUGUCCGUUGUUGUGUUCUUGAUCAAAAAUUGUAUUCUUGUUGUGUCUUGGCAAGAUUUUUAAUUGUCUUGAGUGUUGUUUCUAGUUUUAGUUCUCUUGUUCACUAAAACUUUGAGUCGAUCUAGAUUUGAACUCUAAAAAUUGAUGUUGUUAUUGUGAACUUGAACUUGGCUGUCCAUUGUUGAACAUUGUUGUUGUGGUGGAUUGUUCUGGCCGUGGUUGUUGUUGGUUGUUGUUGGUGUUCUUGUUGUUAUUCACCCUUUUCAUCUUUGUUAAAACAAAAAGUGAACAUUAGAUCCACAAAAGGUGAAACACCAAGUUGUAGUAUUUGUUGAUGAAAGACUUGAUCACAUCACUCAAAAGACUUGACAACCACUUUUCACCUAUUUUCCUUGAUUUAAGGACUUGUUUCAAGGAGAAAGUACCAAGAAGUUAAAGUCUUGUAUUAAACUUGAAAAGGAAGCUUCAAUACCAAAUUUCCCUCCAUUAACCAAUUCCACCAUUUCCAAAUUAUAGAUUGGUCAAGAAUUGAAAUUGGAGACUAAAAUUCUGACAAAAUCGAGGCCAAUAGUGGACUGCCACAUCACUAAAUUACUGUUCACACAAUAUUUUGAGUUCAAAUUUUAGAUUUCUUAGUUUCAUUUUAUUGUUUCUUAGUUUCGUUUGUUGGUUCGAACACUAAUUGACAACCUAAUACAUUCCUACUAGCUUGUUAAUUAGUCCUUUGAAGCUUUGUGUUCAUGUCAACGUUUGUUUGUGUGCUUUUGUCAUUUGAAUACGUUGUAACUCUUGGCUUUAGUCCGACAAGAAUUCUUUGAGUUUCCAACAAAAAUCCACUCCAAACAAGAGCAUACUCAUACCUUAAUGAUUCUACUAGCCAAUUUACAACACUUGUGGAGCUCGAGUGUGAGUGAACCAAAAGAGUGUGAGUGAGGAGAGGGAUUUUUAACUAACUUAUUUGUUGUUUGUGUAGGUGAUACCUUGACAAUGGAGGNNNNNNNNNNNNNNNNNNNNNNNNNNNNNNNNNNNNNNNNNNNNNNNNNNNNNNNNNNNNNNNNNNNNNNNNNNNNNNNNNNNNNNNNNNNNNNNNNNNNNNNNNAAGUGACGACUAUUAGUGGGAGGUUAGAACAAGUGGAGAGUCAAAGGAACUCUCGUCCUUCUAAUCCUCGAAAUGUUUCAUCAAGUGGACAUGAUAGAAAUUCCUCCGCCACUAUUACUCCCGAAACAUGGCCACAAUUGCCAAUUUCUUCAUUAGCUCCCCUAAAUGCCGCAAGCCAAACCACUCAUAACAUUCUAAAUCGAGACUCCAAUAGACCAACCCAUUCCCAAAUACCUCAAGUUCCGCAAGAGGUACUCGGACGUCAACUGCCUCCACAAAACCCAAACCCCCUUUCCAAGCUCCACUAAACCAAAGACCACCACCUCCAUAAAAUCCAAUUCCUCCGAAUCAAGUUCCAAAUGACCAAAACCAUCCCAUCCACCUUGAGGAAUAUGGUAGAGGGUAUUAUGAAGGGUAUGGAGCCUUUGAAGAUGCCUACAUGAGGAAAGAGGAGAUGAGAGGGGGUCAUACGAAUCCAAAGAGAUACUGAGGGUAUGGAGAAAGGGGAAAUCGACACCUAGAGAGAGAUGUGGGCAUCAAUACCAUCAAAUUGAGUCUACCUAUCUUUAAGGGUGAAAGUGACCCCGAGGUGUAUCUCGCUUGGGAAUUAGCGUGUGACAAGGUAUUCCAAGAGAAUGAUAUUUCAAAGAAGAAGAAGAGUUGUUAUGCCAUAGCCCACUUUGAAGGCUAUGCUAACACUUGGUGGGAAUACAUCAAUCGAUUUGGCAACGAGUUGAUAGAUGGGCAACCACCACCAUGGUUUCGAUUAAGGUAUCUAAUGAGGCAAUGGUACCUUUUCGAAAGUUAUCGUCAUGAGUUGUUUGCGAGGUUGUACAACUUACGACAAGGGAAUCGAAAUGUUAUGGCAUACUAUGAUGAGUUUCAAUAACUCAUGUUGAAGCUUGACCAUCGAAGAGAACAAAUCGGCCAUGACAUUAUUCGGUUCAAGUGUGGGUUGAAUAAGGAGAUUGCUACUCACUUGACUCUCCAUAAAUUUGAUACCGUUGAAGGCAUCUUUUAAGCGAUCGUUGAAAUUGAAAGAGAACUUAAGGAAAGAACAAGUUACAAAGCCAAGGGUCAAGCACCCUCGGGUUGGCCGAGGGGUAAGGAGGUUGCUUCCUCCACCACGGGUUGGCACAAAAACAAAGACCAACCCACCACUACAAGGCAACCCGAGGCCAAGGCAAUGGAAAAAUAUCCGCCAAGGCAAGAGGCUCACAAGUAUCCUAAUCCUAAGGGGUUCCAAUGUUUCAAGUGCCAAGGUUGGGGACAUAAAGCUCAUGAAUGUCCAAACCGACGCAAUGUGAUCCUAAGGUAAGGAAGAUUGUAUUACCUUGGUGAGGAAGUGGGUCUUAAAAAUGAAGAGAAUAAGGCCAAGCCUCAAGAUGGAAAGGAACCCAAAAAUGAGCCACAUGAUGAUGACAAUGAUUGUGAAGAUGCAUAUCCACAAGAAGGGGAGUGUGUGGUUCCAAACUUUGUAGUGAGGCAUGCUAUAAUUAGUAAGGCGAUAGAUGAUCCUAGCCAACGGGAGAAUCUAUUCCAUACUAAAUGUCUUGUGAAGGGAAGUGUGUGCACUAUGGUGAUAGAUAAUGGAAGUUGUGCGAAGGUGGUUAGUGUUGCAAUGGUGAACUUCUUGAAAUUGCCGACUACACCUCACACUAGUCCUUACAAGUUACAAUGGUUGAAUGAAUGCAGCGAGUUAAAGGUCACAAGGCAAUGCGUGAUACGUUUUAAGGUAGCAAACUACCAUGACGAGGUGCUUUAUGAUGUGAUACCAAUGCAAUAUUGUCACUUGUUGUUAGAAAGGCCUUGGCAAUACGAUAGGUUGACCAAACAUGAUGGAAGGUCCAAUCAAUAUACACUUGAGAAGAUAGCUGAAAGGUUGCUCUUCAUCCAUUAUUGCCUUCCCAAGUGAAUGAAUUACACCAAAAGAUGCAGGAAUUGAGGAAGAAGGGAAAGAAGGCCGAUAGUGAGGGGAAAAGAGGGGAAUCUGAGAGUGAGAGAGUAGGAGAAACCGAGGAGCUCCUAAUUUCUAAGGGAAAAGGGAGUGUGGUGAUGAUGUCUAGGAGGAAAGAACUAUUUAUGGAUCAUGACGAGGACACUCCGAUGCUUCUCUUGGCUCAUUAUUUUAAUACUAACCCCAGUAACGUUUCCAUUUCUCCUCCUAUUUCUCAUGUUGUGCAGGAUUACGAAGAUGUCUUCCCAAAGGAAUUACUAUAAGAAUUGCCCCUACUUCGGGAAAUUGAGCAUCAAAUAAAUUUUGUGCCGGGUUCACAAUUGCCCAACAAACCGUCUUAUAGGAGCAACCCGAUGGAUACCAAGAAAUUGCAAUGCUAAGUUGAGAAAAUCCACAACAAAGGGUAUAUCAAGGAGAGUAUGAGCCCUUGUGCGGUCCCGGUGCUACUAGUGCCCAAGAAAGAUAGGACUUGGCGUAUAUGUGUUGAUUGCCGAACCAUUAAUAAGAUAACGGUAAAAUAUCGUCACCCUUUCCUAGGUUAGAUGAUAUGCUUGAUGAAUUGAAUGGUUCGUGUUUGUUUUCUAAAAUUGAUUUAAGGAGUGGCUAUCACCAAAUUCGUAUGCAACCGGUGAUGAAUGGAAAACCGCCUUCAAGACCAAAUUCAGUCUCUAUGAAUGGAUGGUUAUGCUAUUCGGCCUAACAAACGCUCCAAGUACUUUCAUGAGGCUAAUGAAUCAUGUGAUGAAGCCAUUUAUUGGAAAGUUUGUUGUUGUAAUACUUUGAUGAUGUGUUGGUGUAUAGUAAGUCCUUAGAUGAGCAUGUAAAACAUUUAUAAUGUGUGUUUGAUGUCCUUCGAAAGGAGAAGUUAUAUGCCAAUCUAGAAAAGUGUUCUUUUGGUGUCCAUGAGGUUGUAUUUCUUGGGUUUGUGAUGAGCUCAAGAGGGGUCGAAGUGGAUGAAUCUAAGAUUGACACCAUUAAAAAUUGGCCAACCCCCAAAACCAUAGGUGAAGUGAGAAGCUUCCACGUGUUGGCUAGUCUUUAUAGACGUUUUGUCAAAGGAUUUAGCACCAUUUCCGCCCCCUUAACCGAAGUGAUUAAAAAGGAUCGACCUUUCAAGUGGGGAAAUGAACAAGCUAGGACCUUCGAUGACUUAAAAGCUAUGCUCAUCUUGACCCCUUUGCUACAAUUGUCGAAUUUUGACAAGACUUUUGAGGUCGAAUGCGACACUAGAAAAGUCGGCGUAGGUACGGUUCUAAUGCAAGAAUUGAAGCCUAUUGCCUACUUUAGCGAAAAGCUCAAAGGAGCAACUCUAAACUACUCUACGUAUGAUUUAGAGUUGUAUGCCUUGAUUAGAGCCUUGGCCACUUGGCAACAUUAUUUGUGGCCUAAAGAAUUCGUGAUCCGAACGGAUCAUGAAUCCUUGAAGAAUCUACGGGCACAAGACAAAAUUAACCGGCGGCAUGCCAAAUGGAUUGAAUUUCUUGAAACUUUCCCUUAUGUUAUUCAUUACAAGAAGGGUAAAGACAAUGCGGUUGCCGAUGCUUUGUCUCAAAAACAUGUGCUUGUGUCUACUUUGUCAUCUAAGUUGAUGGGGUUUGAAAGCCUCAAGUCUUAAUAGCCCGAGGACCCUCACUUCACUCCUAUCUAUAGGGAAAGUGAAGAGUUGGAUAGGGAUAAGUGGGUUACGGAUAGAGGUUCCCAUCCUUAUACCAAAUUUGAUGGAUACUUAUUUAAGUGUAGACGAUUGUGUGUUCCCUUAAGUUCGUAGAGAGAAUUGUUUGUGAGAGAAGCAUACAAUGGCGGUCUAAUGGGCCAUUUUGGGGUCGAGAAGACCCUCGGAAUUUUGGAAGAAUAAUUUUAUUGGUCUAGAAUGCACAAGGAUGUGGUCCAGAUUUGUGGCCAAUGUAUUGAGUGCAAAGGAGCCAAGUCACGGCUCCAACCCCAUGGAUUGUACACCCCGCUGUCCACCCCUUUGCAUCCUUGGCUUGACAUAACAAUGGACUUCGUGUUGGGAUUACUGAGAACUAAAAGAGGGUGGGAUAGUACUUUUGUUGUGGUGGAUCAGUUUUCCAAGACGGCUCACUUUAUUCUUUGUUCUAAAUGUAAUGAUGCACCUAGUGUAGCCUCUUUGUUUGUUGAUAAUAUUGUAAAACUUCAUGGUGUUCCGAGGACCAUAGUGAGUGAUAGAGAUUCUAAAUUUCUAAGCCACUUUUGGAAGUCUAUGUGGGGUAGGCUCGGUACUAAGUUGUUGUUUUAGACUUCAUGCCACCUACAAACCGAUGGUCAAAUAGAAAUAGUAAAUAGGACCUUAGGGUCUAUGCUAUGGUCCAUGGUUAAGGUAAAAAUGACUUCUUGGGAGGAGCAAUUACCGUUGAUUGAGUUUGCUUAUAAUCGUGUUAUACACUCAAGAACAGGGAUGACACCCUUUGAGUGUGUAUACGGCAUCAACUCCCUUACCCCUUUGGAUUUAACCCCUUUACCAAGUGAUCUUGUGAUAACCUUAUAUGUAAGCAAAUGGACCGAGGCCAUGAAGAAGCUACAUGACAAGGUAAGGUUGCGGUUGGAGAAGAAAAACCAAGAAGUUGCAAGGCGAACCAACAAAGGAAGAAGAAAGCUCAUUCUUGAACCGGGAGAUUGGGUGUGGGUGCACCUAAGGAAGGAUAGAUUCCCAUCUAAAAGGAAUGCUAAGUUGAUGUCGCGGGGUGAUGGCCCAUUCCAAGUAUUAGAAAGGAUCAACGACAACGCCUACAAGAUUGAUCUACCCCCGGAAUAUCAAAUGCACAACACUUUCAAAGUGUGUGACCUCUCUCGGGUGGAAACAGUGGAGGAUGGCAAUGAUCCAAAUUUGACGACAAAUUCCCUUCAAGAUGGAAAGGAUGAUACGAGAAUUCCUAGCUCGAGACCUUUCACAUGAAGACAAGUGCGUGAGUUGCAACGACUCCAAGCCUUGUUCACAUCCUUGGCCUUAUGUGAGGCCCUUGUAAGCCCAUCCAAGGUCCUAUACUUAUAAAAAUAUGAAGAGGCGCAACAAAACAAACCAAACCCACCCACUUAAUGCCAAGGGUAUUUUGGUUUUUUGUCCCUCCUUUGUAAUUGACUAUACAAGUCAUUUGUUAGGGCUAGUCUUGUGGUAGUUCAUCCAUGAUAUUUUGAGAACACAAGACUUGUAAUAUUUUGAACUUUUCUCUUCCAUUGGAGAAGCUCAAACCAAAAUUCCCAAUUGGAGUGACACUUGGGUUGAAUCUUGGCUAGAAACUAGGAUCUUGAGGUCAUUGAGUUCCUCUUGGUCUAAGUAAGAGCUUGGUGAUAAUAUUCUUUAAUCUUAGGGUCCUUUCAUGUUGUUAGGGUUCUUAUAUUCUUGACUAUUAUAUGUCAAGUUACUAUCUUUAAUUUUGUAAUCUUGUUGUUUGUGUGGUAACAUAGUGAAGCCGUGUGGGGCUAUUUUCGAUUCACUAUAGUUGAUGCCACUUUGUUACUCUUGUUGUUGUCAUUGUAAUCUAUAUCAUCUUGUCAUUUUUGUAAAUCUUGAAGUCUAGUGAAGCCGUGUGUGGCCUAUUUUGAUUCACUGGCAUUGUUGUUGUUUAUCUUGUUAUUCUUGUGUUAGCUUGACUCUCUUGAUACACACUCACUUUUGUAUCAAAACUAGACGUAUCUCUCACUUUCAAAAAUUACACAAAUAUCAAACGCGAUACAAAGGGUUUACACCAAGAAGAAAGGAAAAGAAAACUAUAGAAGGAUACUGCAGAAGUUAUAUAUGGUCUGGAGUAAAUUCAAUCACAAAGAGGUCACUAGUUGCAUAGGACAAACUGUGUACACCUAGAUCUUGUGGUGGACUUAAUCUCACUAAUCUAAAACUCUGGAACAGAUCUGUCAUAUCUAAGAGUGGUUGGGAUUUGGCUCAUAAGGAAGAUAAGAUAUGGAUACGAUGGAUUCACUCCUACUACAUUAAGGGCCAAAACUUUCUCACAAUGCCAAUUCCAAAGCAGACGAGCUGGCUGGUGAAGAAAGUAAUUGAAGUCAGAAGGAGUUGGAGCUAUAUACCAUUCACUACCGAACAAACGCAGCUCAGCUUUAUUAGAAAGGUUUACUUAUAGUUGUUUUGUAACCUACCUCGAUUCCCUUGGAAAAGCUUGAUGUUUCAAAAUGCUGCUAGGCCAAAAGCUUUAUUUACAAUGUGGUUGUACCUACAAGGCAAGUUGUUGACUGUGAAUAGACUUAUAAAAUGGAAGAUUGAAGCAGAUCCUAUGUGCUCUUAAUUCAAAGAUGCCAUGGAGAAUCGAAAUCACAUCCUAGUAAACUGUGUUGUUAUAAAAGAAGUAUGGGGUAAAAUAUUAAAGUAGAUGGGCAAAUAAACUGUGAUAUCAUCAGAUUGGGAUCAACAUAUGCAGUGGAUACUGCGACAUGGAAAAGGUAGAACUAUUGUUGCCCAGGUAUUUCGAAUGAUUUUUGCAGAAACUUGUCAUGCUAUAUAGAGUGAGAGAAACAACAAGCUGCAUGAUAAUAGAAGAAGGACUACAGAAACCAUUGCAAGAGAGAUAGCAUAUGUCUACACUGUAAGAGCUCCACUUAAAACUCAGUUGUUAAUUAAUUCAUGGAGAAUGUAAGUACGGAUGAAAAUAUUUUAGCAAAAUUAUGGUAACUGAGGUGAGCAAAAAGGGUGCUACUAUAGGCCUCUAUCUAACUUCUUAUGAUAUACUGGAUAGAUUUUUCUUUUUUUGAACUUAGCAUUUUGUGUAUAGUAUGAAUAUAGAUUUGUAAUGCUCAAUGGUGAUUAAUAAAAAAAUUGUUAGUUUCUUCUCUCUCAAUAUCAACCUCCAUGAACACCACCUCACUUUACUCUUAAAUUCCACAACACCAAAAAACCAAAUAGCUCCCUCCAUUACUCAAUUUUUCAAUUUCUCUAUUUUAAUUACACCCAGCAAACAACAUAAUUCAAUACGUGCCAUUAACUCUGCCCGGUGAAAAAUAUCAAUUAAACUCAUUUUUUGUCCCUUUCAGAGAAUUGACGCACAUCCACAACAACGAUCUUCCUCCACUAACCUUUUCAAAACCCCAUCGAAAUACCUCCAUUAAUAAUAAUAUACUCCUCCAUUCUCACUCACUAAUUUGACAAAAACAACCUCACUGAAAUAAUCAUCGAAAUUCCCACAAUUUCAUCACCACAAUUGUCUAACACCAACCCAAAUCUCUAAAAGAUUUCCUUUACAUACUCAACACCAUUAACGACCAAACAUCUGUAAGGUACAAGAUGAAAUGGGAGAUAUGUGUGUGAGAGUAAUAAUUUGACUAAGAAUGUAAAGUAACUUUCUUUUUAAUUCAAUUGAGCCACAUUUGGUAAUGUAACAUGGAGUGAAUUAUAUUCUGUAAUGUAACAUUAGUAGUUGCAUUUAUUUUGUAGUUUUUCCUACUUAAAAAUUGAAAUCUCAUAUUGUUAUAUUCAGUGUUUACUAUCGGUCAAUAUUUAGUAUUUGUGCUAGGGUACUAAUAUCUACAAAUUACAUAUAUACACAAGGUAACUUUACCUUAUUACAUAAAAUCUCAUAUUGAAAAAGAAAUUACAAAAAUCCCAAAGUAAUUACUUAAAUCCCUUAAAUUCACUCUUUCUCUCUCAUCCCCCUCAUACAUAUCAAAAUACCAUAUUUUGCUCCUAUUUUAGUGCACUGAUUUUUGCUCCAUAUAUGUGCUCCUUUAUUUACGUCUACAAUCAAGCUAAUGUAAUAUUAAUACUCUCUCAUCCCCCUUCUAUUUGCGUCACUUUUAUAAUUGGAAUUGAAGAUGUACACUUUCAAUUCACGUAAUAAAGAAAAUUGAAUCAUUCUUUUUCCUUAUUAUCAUCUAGCCAAUGUAAUGUUAUAAUAACACUAAUUUUUUCUUAAAAUUAUUAUAAUCUUGUAGAUAAUUAAUGUAUAAGGUGAAUAUUUUAUAUGUAUAGUGUGAUAUUAUAUAUUUUGAAAGAUUAUAUUUUAAUGUAUAAAUUAUAAUAUAUCAGACAUUAUACAUUAUUUAUUUUUGGAAGACUAAUGUAUAAUAUAAUUCUUCUACUAUACAUUUCAUUAUGUUAUACAUUAAAAAGUUCUUAUUACAUUUAAGAGGCAUUUUAUGUAUUAUUUGAUAUUAUACAAUUAGAAAGUAUUAAUAUUGUAUAAAGUUACAUUAUACCUUCUGAUAAGGAUAUAGAAGUAUACAUGCUUAAUGUUAAUACUUAAAUGUAUAGUAUGACAUUAUACAUUACAGCAAAUUAUUUUUUAAAUGUAUAAUGUGCCCACAUGUAUGUGCAACUAUUGUAUAAUGUUAUCUUUUAAAUUUCAGCUUAUCUGUUAUUUGCAUUGAUUCAGUAAAUACAUCACAUAUUGAAUAAUAAAAUUGAAUAUAUCAACUGUAUUUGGAUAUAUAUUAUUCUCAUUUAACUAUUUUGUUAACUAAUAUUUAUUUUUUUUCAUGGAUUUUAAAUUAUUUAUAAUAAAUUUAUAUGAUUCUGUGAAUGAAAGAUAAUUUCUUUCGUCAAAACAUACUUUGAAAAUCAAUUUUAUAGGAGUUUAAUGGAUUAUAUCAGUGUGAACACAAAUAAUCCAUAGGUAUUAAUAUUACUCCUACUAAAGUAAAGGAAAGAGAAUGAAAAAUAAAUACUCCCACUAGAUUUUAUAUUAUUUUAUGUUGUUGUUACAUAAUUUUUAAAAAGGUUUUAAUUAAAAUUAUAUUUUAUCAUUAUUUAUGUAAUUUAUUACUACUAAAAAUAAUAUAAGAAUGAAAUAAUAAGACUUUUUUAUCUGUUAAAAAGAAUAAACAACAUAAAAUAUUAUAAAUGAGAACAAUUAAUAGUGCUGAUUAAGAAUUUUUUUGAAUUGAAAUCUCAGUUACUAUAUUUAAUCAUACACCACACAAUGAUAGAUAAUUAAUUGCGUUAAUUAAGGUAGAGAAAGAUAAUAUCUGAUUUCUCUUUCCAUAAAAAUAGGCAAAUUUGUUUUAUCAUACAUUGCAGCAAUGUAUAAGACGCUACCUAAUGUAUAAGUAUAUUUUACAAAUUAGGCAGAGAGAAAGCCUAACGAAAUUAUAUAUAAAUACUUUCACUAUAGAAGGGAUUUAUGUGGUUUAUACUACUAAUAUUUCUCUUUUUAGAUUUGGUUAUUAUUUUUUGUUGAUUAUAAGUUGAUUUCUUUGGACCAAGAUUAUAAGUUGAUUUCUUUGGACCAAACUAUCAUUUGAAAUCCAUUUCAUUUGAAAAAAAUAAAUAAUAAUAAGACAAUAGUAGAUUGCACAAAAUUAUUUAAUUGAUUAUUUGUGUUCUCAUUUAAUAAAUAUUUAAUUGAUUAUUUGUGUUCUCAUUUAAUAAAUAAUGUAUAAUAUAAUUGUAUUAAGAUCGCAAUGGAUUACAUAAAAUCAGAAAAUUAAUUUCAAUUAAAUAGAAUCAAUUUUGUGAUCAUAAUAUAAACUCAAGUGGCUUAAAUUUAAUAUCGUAAAUUUCAAAUAAAUUUACGACUAAAAUAGUAGUCAAUAUUAAGUGUUCUUUACCACAAUAUGUAUAUCAGUUAUGAAAUUCUACAUAUACUUACUAUUAAAAUAGUUGUCAAUAUUAACUAAUUUUCACCUUGAUUUAAUCUGAUUAAUUUGAUUAUAGUAAAAUUAAUAUUACAUUACAUAUUUACUUCCUAUAAAUCUAUCCUAAUUUUAUAAUUACGGAAGCAAUUAUUUUUUCCGUUGUUACAUAUGUACUUCCCAAAAAUUUCUCCUAUUUUUAAAAUUUGAUUAUAUUUAUUACCUCUAUAAUUACGGAAAGGACUCGACAAAAAAAAAAUUAAAUUUUCCUAAUUACAUAUUUACUUCCCAUGAAUAUCUCAUAUUUUUAUAGUUUGAUUAUAAUUAAUUGAUUAUUAAUUAUCUUUAUGAUUUUGGAAAAGACUCAAAUAAGGUAGCAACUGUUUUUUUCCUAAUUACUGAUAUACUUCUCAAAAAUCUCUCCUAACUUUAUAAAUUGGUUAUAGUUAAUUAAUUAUUUAAUUGUCUCUAUAAUUUUGGUAAGAACUCAAAUAAGAUUAUAACUAUUUUCCCCUAAUUACGGAUCUUCUUAUAUUUAUUCAUUUAUUAUUUCUUUAUAAAAAUAGGUCAAUCUUAAUUGCAAUUAAAGUUGAAAUAUUAUUUGUUUUUAAAAUGUGAAGUGGCUAGUUCUCAUGAUAUUACUUGGUUUAACCUCAGCUAGAUUGUCAACAACAACAACAAAAAAACUCAUCUAGGUACUCUCCUCUUUUAUUAGGUAUAUAAAAAAUUAUUUUUUCCAUUAAUAAAACUAUGAUAAUGUAGCUUUGUGGAGUGCGAGGAUUGCUUAGUUGAUGGUUGAGCACCAAUCAAAUCCCUUGAUUUCUGUCUAAGGGGUUCAAAUUUUGAAGAAAAGCUAGCAAAAAGAGGUGCACAUCUAUAAUAUAUAGAUAAAGAAUUAUUUUAAUCAUUUAUUAAUAGUAUAAUUUUUUGUCUUAAAGGGUUAGGGGUUCGGAUGAACCCAUAGUGAAAAGCUGGCUCCGCUUCUGCAUAUCCCCUCCAAAAAAAAAAAAAGAAAAAAACAAAGGACAACAUAACUAAACGUCUAAACCAUAUAACUACUUCUCCUUAAAUAAUGUAAACAUGGUCUCAUCAAAAGUACUAAAUUUUGGUAAACAUACUAAGUGACUUUGAUAUAGUGUAUAGAAAAUCAUCUCUUCUUAGUCUUGUAAACAAAAUGAGUAGUUCAGGCUUUAUCAUAAUAAUUUUGCAUACAUGAGGUACACAACCUAAGAGACAAUAAAGCAAAUGGUUGUCCCCCCCUCUCCUAACGUUUUCAAAUAAAUCAAGAUCAAACAUUAUCAACACCAAUUGCCUACUUUCUUAGAGUGCUAACGAUAAAAUCAUCUUUUUGUUUGCUUUUGUUACAAAAAUACUUACAACAAAGAGUACUACGGACCCCUCAUGGACUCAAAAGAUUUGGUUCCACAUACUCCCACUUUUUUGGUCCCUUUAAAAUUUUGUUCUUAUAAUUUCUAUAGAAAAAUAACGUAGGUGGUUAGCUUGAAGAAUAAGUAAAUAAGCAAAAGGCUAGCUACAUAUAGAUAGUUCACUUGCUAACUUGGGUUAGGCCAAGAGAAUUAUUGUUUGCUUGCAACUAUCAUGAAUAUUAAGUUUGUAAAGCUCAAAUAGCAUAUUGAUAAAUAAGAAAAUCAAAUAUUGAUCUAACUCGACCCCAAAAGUUAGUUCAUGAAAUAAAAAAAUUUUAUUUGUUCAUCCCAAGUGAUUUUACUAUAUGCAGUGGCGGAUGUACAUGUAUUCCAGGGGGUUCAUUCGAACCCCCUUCGUCGGAAAAUUAUAUUAUUUUUAUAUGGUAAAAAAAAAUAUUAUGUAUAAAUAAUAGAGGCUGAACCCCUUCGACUAGUCCAUAUAUGUACUACUGAACUCCCUCACUAAAAAUCCCGGAUCCGCCCCUGACUAUAUGAAUGCUCAAAAUCUAGCUCAUGAGAUGCGAUUAUCAAUAAUGUAACAUUGCUAUAGAGGGCGUACUUUUAUUUAUUUAGUAAUAUCUUUUAACAUGCCUCUCACAUUCGGCUUGCUUCUUUUUAGUGGAUGAUAGUGAGACUCGCAUUCAGAAUCUCUGUAUGAUAUGUGAAUAUAUAAUCAACUCAUCUAAGAGUUUAAACUAUUCGAGUUGACCAUACUCUUAUUUCCUUAAUUAUUACUCUUCACUGUGUAUAUUAAAUAGCUUACCUUCCGUUAGUUAAGUUAGUCAUGCUAAACAUUAUAAUGAUACCAUUUGAUUAAGAAACGGAAAAAACUGUACUAUGUAUAAAUUGUAAAUUUGAAGAUUUGGUAUCGUAAAAAGUAAAUUUUAUUGGAUGCGAAGUGGUGAGGUGCAUUCUUAAAGUGGGCAUUUUGCACCAUCAUUAGUUAUUUUAUAACACCAAAACUUUCUCCAAAUUUGUUCUUAGAAAAUGACUUGAGCAUAAAUAUUCUCAUUUUCAAUUGUAUCUGGAAUAAUUAAUAGGCAAUAAGUUAAAAUAUUUUUAAAAUAAUUAAAUUAAUGAGCUUUUUCCAAAAGCAAAUGUGUUUCUCACAUUAUUAUUCUUUGCUUAAGGACAAAUCAACACGAGAAAAAAGAUAGGGGGAAGAGUGGAAACCCUUUUUCUAGAGAAAAUGAGGAGAGCACUAACUAAAGAAUUUUUUUUCCAAAAAGUCAAAGUCAUUAUGCCAUUGUCAAAGAUAAUUCUUCAAUCUUUUUGACUUCCAAAUUUGGAGAACAAAUAAAAAUUUGGAGUUCACAAGGUGUUACAAAGACUAAAGAAAUGAUUGAAAGAUUAUAAUUUUUGGUCCCCAUUAAAACUUAAAAAUAAUAAUUUAAUUAAAUAUAUACGAAGUACAUAUAUAAUGUUACAUCUCCUUUUCUUCAACCAUUAGUUAGGAAAGGGGAAAUCAAAUAAAGUAACGAUACAAAUAAAAAGAGGGAAUUAAUUAACAAGUGGAAGAAAGUUUCAAGAGUCCUAAUGGUGCAAAUGCUAUCAAUUUUACCUUGGAUAUACAACAAAAAUAAUUAGAUAUGAUAUGUAAUUACUCCUUCUCUUCCUUUUACUUGCCUUCUAAUUUCCAAACAAAAUGAGAAGAGAAAAGUUAUCGUGGGAAAAAUUAUCCUUCCACCAUUAUGGUCUAAACAAGAUGCAAAGAGAAGAUUGGUGGGGGUGGGUCGUGGGGGGGCUGGUUUAACAAUGUCCAAUUGUUUAAAUGAUUUUAAUUAUAUGCAUUGAUAGUAAAUGUCGUUUUACACAAUUAAUGUAAUACUUAUAACAUGUUUAUCGAGUAUAAUUUUUAUCAGGUUAUUAAUUAAUAUUUAAAUAUGAAUAUUUAUAUGAAAUUACCAUAUAAAAAUAACUUGAUUGAACAAUUUUUAUUUACAGUACUGUCAAAUCUUAAAAUUUAAACUCAAGAAUUUAUCUUAGCACAUAAUAGUAAAUCCAUGAUCACUCUCCCAAUAUUUAGACAACUUAGUAAUUAUAGAUUUCCGAACAAGGUUGCUAGUGUAUCAUAAAUCAUACUCACAAUUCAAGCAGGAGCAGUAUAUUAAACUCAGUCUAUCUCAUAUUAAUUGUCCAUAUUAUUAAAAAUAUGUUUCAAAUUACUUGAUAAUUUAUAGAAUCAAGAUAGAAUUAAUUUAAUUUUUCUCAUUCUUCCCUAAAUUAACCGUUGUAUAAAUAUUAUGAAGUUUUUAAAAAGUUUUUUCCAUCAUUACUUUUGGCAUUGAUUGAUAAGACACACAAAUAUAAAGUAUAAUAAAAAGAUAUAAAAGAAAAAUUACUAAACGUAUUCUUAUUGUUUAUAAUUUUUAAAGAAUUUAUAAAAAAUUAGGAAAUAGCAACUAAUAUAUAACGGAGGGAGUAGUAACAACAACUCGAUGUUAGGUAGCUGCGGACAGAUAAAUAUCAUAGAAGACUUGGAAUACUAAAAUAUAUAUGCCAUCAUGAAAAUGUGCAUAGGAUACUAAAAACAAAAUUAACUUCUUUCUGCUUUGAAUUUUUUUACAAAUUUUGCUGUUGCAAUUUGAAAAUGUUACACUUCUCGAUUUGUUCCCUAUUUGCUGAUCGAAUUGAUGCUUCUUAUCUUUUGUUCAGUGGUCAAUAAAUUGUACUAUCCAAUGGAUAUUCUUGCACAACAGAUUUUUAUUUUUAUUUUAUUUUAUUGGCUCAAAUUUUUUCUAAUGCCUUUCUGCAAACUUCAUCUACUCUUGUUCAUUCUGUGAAUCUUGGUUCUUCAAAACAAAAACAAAAAAGGAAAGAUAGCUUGAGGUGCUUCUUUUCCCGUCAUUUAUAACCUGAUAAUAAAGAAAUAUAUUUUAAAUUAUAAUAAUUCAAUUUGUAAUUUUGAUCAACAUAAUAAUGAAAGAAAAAAAUCAAAAGAAUUAGAUUUUCCUAAUAUUAUUCAAAAUUGUUGAAUUUUUCCUCUUAUAGUCUUUCGAUUUAUUCAUUCUUAAUUACGCAUGAACACAUACGUGCACCGCCUCUUUUAUUGUUUUAGUUUUUGUUUGGGAGGAGGGUGAAAUAAUACUCUUCUGUCAAUGAUUACUUAUUCUUAUUUGACUACAUUUUAAUUUUUAAUAUAAUGAAUAAAUAAAGGUGGACGGAGGAAUAACCUACUCAAAAGCGUGAAACAUAAAUUAAAGGAGCAUGACAUGUUUCGAUACUUAAAGGAGUAAUUAGACAUUUGCAUUGGAUCUAUAACCAAAGACUCCAAAUAAUUGUCAAAAGUCGUCCAUUUACGUUCAGAAAGACAAAGAAGAUGCCAUUACUGUUUCCCAAAAUUCAAAUGGAGGACACAUGUCAACUAUUGUAAUAGCAAGAAGCAUGCAAAAGAGGAUCAGUCAACUAAAUUAUACUAUAUAGUACGUCUCGACAUUAUUCUAAUCUUUGGCAGUAUUAAUCGGACUUUAAUUUGUAAGCCUCUUCUAAAAUAUGCAUGAUACUUAGAGUUAUUUUUCUUCCUAGGAAGCAUCAUUUUCAUGUUUUAACUCACACCUUGUCGGACAAGAAAGGAAAGUAAAUUAGCCAAAGGAAAUAGGAUGGGAAAACAAAAUUUGGUGAUGAAGAUAAUUUUUCAUCAAAAAAGUUUAUAUACUCCAUAAAAUAUAAGAGUUAAUCCUAAAUGUGAUUCUUUUUUUUUUUCCUUUUCAUAAAGGAGUUAACUAAAAUCCUGAUUAGAGGCAUGGUGGGAGCCAGGGGUAGAUCCAUGUGUAAUUUUGGGGUGCUUCGAUACCCAUAAAACUCGACGUAGAUUAGAUAUAAUUAUACAAAAAAACACAGAAUAAAUGGUAUAAUUUAUUAAAAAUCACCUAGAGAACAAAUAUAUGGUUGGGUGCAGUGGCUUGAGGAUGUGACUCAUAUGUCCAGUUUUCUAGGUUCGAAUCGCUACAGCUACAUACUAUUUUUUAUAAAUUUUUUUAAGCACCCACAACCUUAAAUUCCUGGGUUCGCCACUGGUGGGAGCUGGGUAAUAUUCUUGUACCUUUAAUAAGGGCUUUCAAGUUCAAGAUCCGUGGAUAAAGAAAAAAAAAUAAUAGAUAAUGUUUCUUUCUAAAUCUUAAGCGCGUGAAUUUGAAUUAGAUAGAGUUAAUGAAUAUAUAUUAUUAUUAUUACUAGUUCAGCCGUACGUAUCUCGCACGUAUAACUUUUGAUUAUUUAAAAUUAGACGAUUUUAUCUAUUACAAAGGUUUUUAAUAACGUACAAAAAGUUCCAAACAUAUAUUUUACUAUAAGCACAUAUAUAUUUUACUACCGGAAGUUUCAAGUGCUUAAUGGAUACUUUUGCGUUUGUUAUGCAAUACCUCUUUUCAUUGCUGGUAGAGGCUAAGAGAAACGCAUCAGUUCGAAUCAUAUUUGUAGUACAAUUGUUUUUCCUCUACUUAAAAUCUUUACUUAUUUUUUAAGUUAAAUCAUUAGAAAAUUUUUUAUUACUUAAAACUUUUAUAAAUUUAAUAUUUCUUAUAUUUUUUUUAUUCUCACUAGUGCUUUCAUAUUUGUUUCUAGAUUUUUUAAAUCUCUUUAAAAUUAACUUUAGUUGAUUUAGAAUUCUUAAACUAAUGAAAAAGAUAUUAGUUGUCACUAAUUCUGACGACUUCUAAUAACGAAAAGUUAAAUAAUAUUUCUACGAUCCUUCACACUUUUAAUAUAUUUUAGAUUAUAAAUUAUAGAUUAAAUAUAAACAUAAAUAUAAAUAUAAAUAUAAAUAUAAAUAUAAAUCAAACAACCAUGGUGGGUUGAUGGCAACUUAUAUGCUACUGUCAUUCUCUUAUAAUAAAAGUUAAUUACCAAAAAGAAAAAUAUAUGCUAGUGUCAUUUCAUUAUGUAAUUUUCAAGUAAAUUUGAUAAAACAAUUAAACUGAAGUAUAAAACAUUACAAAAAAAAAUGCACACAUAUGUAACGUACACAUAGAGUCCGUUAAACAAUAAAAUUAGGAGUUAUUUUUUCACGUAAAAUCUACCUACACUAUUGAUAGUAUUUUCUUCUUAUUAUAUAUUUUAGGACUUUAAAAUUGUAAAUAGUUAAAUAAGAAGAAAACUAAAAAUAGAAUAAGCCAAUAUUUAUAUUUCUUGUAAAAUUUGAUUGAAACUAUUACUUAAAUAGAACUGUAAAAGUUCUUUUUAUAUAAGGGAAAAUUUUAAUUUAUUUAGAAGUAUUAAAUAUUAUAAUUUCUUGUCUAGAUGAAAUAAGGACUUUAAUUAAUUUUAAAAAUCUAAAUAAUGUAUAAUUAGUUUAUUUUUAUUUUUUUAGAAAAAAUCUCAACCUAAAUAAUGUAUAAUAUUGACUUAUUUAAAAACAAAAAUCCCAAACCAACUUUGGUUUUUAAAAAAAAGGACAUAAAAAACCAUUUUGUAAAAUAAAUAAAUCAAGUUAUAAUUCUAUAUAAAGCAAAAAUAAUAUACAUUAAGAAUAGUAAUAACAUGUUCUAUACUAACAUUUGGGCAAGUUUGCAAAAAUUCAAAUUUUAGCUGAUUUUAAACUAUUACGUUUUUAAGGGUGUUCACACUUUUAAUAUAUUGUAGAUUAUAGAUGUAGAUAUAGAUGUAGAUGUAGAAGUAGAUGUAUAUAAGAUGUAGAUUUAUAGAUUUUUAAUAUCUUCUUAAAAUCAAAUUUAGUUGAUUUAGAAUUCUUAAACUAAUAGAAAAAGUAUUAGUUGUCAUUAAUUAUGAUGACUUCUAAUAAGGAAAAAGUUUUAUUAUAAAUAUAUUUAAUUAAUUUUGAACUCUUAAAUAUUAGAAAAACAAAUAGUGAAAAGAUAAUUUUGCCUAAAGCAAAGACUUUUAAUGAAAGACAAAAAGUUAAACGAUAUUUCUAAAGUCCUUUACACUUUUAGUGUAUUAUAAAUUAUAGAUAUAGAUAUAAUUAUAGAUUAUUAUUGUGAUAAAAGUAAUAAUUUUUUUUUAAAAAUGAAGUGAGGCGCUAAAGGAAGUUAUUUUUCUUUUCAUUAAACUAAAGUAUAUAGUAGACCUAUUUACUUUCUUCUAUAUUAGUUACUUUACUUAUUCUCUUUGCAAACCAAAUAAGAAAAGGAAUCCCUUUUUCUUUCCUUUAUGUCUAGUUCUCAAACAAAGGACAAGCCCCUCCUCUCUCUCUCACUUUUUUUUUUUUUUUUUUUCUUUUUAAAAUAGUAGAAAGGAGGGGCUGAUGUCGAAGUUUAUAAUUGGGAGGAGAAAAUGUGAAAAAAGAUAAAAAGAAAGAUGGCGCCAAAAGAAGUCUUAUGAGGAGAAAUUGCUUUUAAAUUGUUAGACCAAUAUACCUGCAGACUUCCAACUUUGGGACCCUCUUGCCCACUUCAAAAAUUAUGCUUAUUGUAAAAUAACUUAAAUAUAUACCGACAGCAUAAAUAAUAGUAGUAUUUCAUACCAAUAUAGAUCACAACAAAAUUAAUUAAUAAGUUGAUCUUAAUGAGGGAAACACUAAACAUAAAUUAAAUGAAAUGGUUUUAUCUUUAGUGAACAACACCAGAAUUUUCAACAAGGAGUCAAAAUAUUAAAAAAGUAAGUACUCAAAUAAGUUAAGAAAAUUUUACAUAUAAUAUAUGUACAUUAUUUGUUUUACUUAAUUUACACUAUAUAAUUAUUUAGUAAAGGAGUGCAUUGACACUUUUCAACAAGGACUAUCAGUAUGUGUAAGUUAAUUAGAAGGUACUCCCUCUAUCACAGUUUUAAGUGUCUUAGUUUGAUAGAACAUAGAGAUUAAAAAAUAAAAGUGAGAUUUUUUAAUUUUAUGACGUUAAAUUAAAGAAGUGUAUAGUGUUUUUUAUAAUCUUACACUUAUCAUGAAGGAGGUUAUUGGAAUUGUAAAAAUUACUGAAUAUAGAAAGAGAUAUUUUUUUAGAAAUAAACGAAAAAGAAAGUAAGACACUUAAAUUAAGACGGAGGAAAUUCUAUGAUAUAAUAAAAUAAACUCCAAACCCUUGCAUUAGCAUAGUUCUCUUAACAUGUAUGUAUUGGCUUGGUCUAUAUACCGGGUGCGUGUAAGUGUUUUCCCACCUUGUACUAUCCUCAAACCUGCCUCCCCUUUUCCAUUCCUAUACUCUUUUUUCUCUCUUGUUAAAUACUCUUUUAUUCUUUCUCUACUAUAUAUACAUACCAACACUUGACUUUAAUCUUUAAUUUACCUUUGUGCAUACCUCUCUCCUCCAACAAGCUAAGUGUUCAAGUGUAAUAUACCACAAUUAGGAGUCCAAGAUCAUAAUAAUGAAGGAGUGUGGGAAGAAUAGCAGCUCACCAUGUGCAGCUUGCAAGUUAUUGAGAAGAAGAUGUGGUCAUGACUGUGUCUUUGCACCUUAUUUCCCUGCUGAUGAACCCCACAAGUUUGCCAAUGUUCAUAAGGUCUUUGGUGCUAGUAAUGUCAGCAAGAUGUUACAGGUUCCACUUUCUAUAUAUCUCUUUCAAUUAUUUUCCAACUUAACUUUCUUUAAUAUAUAUGCAACUUUUUUCAAAAAAAAAAAAGGGCAAAUCUUCAUCUCUACUUCUAAUUGGGUAUCAACACCUUAGUUUUUGUUUAUGGGGUUUUCUCUAUGUGAAUUAUAGUUAGAGUCGUGGAAUCAGUCACUAAUACUUGCAUCAGGACUCGGGAUAGACCGAUUACAUCACAUCCCUCCUCUCUUGAAUGUUUCCCUUUUUUGGACCCUACAUGAGAGUAUACCAUACUUUUUUUCUGAUGUGGGUGGGUGAGGUGGGAUAGGAGGGGGGUUGUCAAUUAAGGGUAUAGAGUGUGAACACGAUUUAGCAUAUAAUAUAAUGACUUAAGAUAGAUCUAAAGAUAAGGUUGUUUAGCAAAAAUAUUGGACACAGAAGUUACACAUGCACUUGGUCUAUGAACAUGCUAUAAUAGAGAAGAGAUAAUGUAUUUAACAGGUCACAUGCAAUAAAAUCCAAAAGGUAAGCAUAACAGACAAGUAUAGAUGAUAAAUAAUGUAUCAAACUUCUUUCCUAUUCUCAAUACUGCUACUUCAUUUUCUCCAAGUAUAUAAAUAUAGUCCAUGUUUGUCUACCCUAAUUAGCUAAAUUAAGUCCUCUAAUUCAAAUUAUAUAUUUUGGAGUUUUUUUUUUGUUUUUUAAAAGGCACUAAAUAAUGUUCAUGAUUGAGCCUACAGUAUAAAAAGUUGCCGUUUUAACCCUAUUUAAUUUAAUGUGUCCCUCUUGCUACUGGUCAAAUGUGCCAAACACUCGCAUAAGAAAACCAAUGUACAACGUACUAAUUGUUUCUUGCUUUUCAAGUUAAAAUUAGCCCCUUAUAAGGUAAUUAGGUCAUAUUUUCUUUGAUUAUAGUUUCUUUUUUCCUUAUUAAAGUUUAAAUUAUGAUCUUUUGUUACUCAAGCUUCUGCUUUUCUAAGCUCUAUUUUGGCGGUAAAAAGAUAACAAGCAAGUAAUUAUACUUUAUAUAAAGAAUAAAUGUUUGCUGAACACCUUUUUCAGGCUCCUGUGGUCAUAUUUUCAGGUUCUUUUACAACUAGAAAAAAAAACAUUGCAUUAAGUGAUUAAAGUUUCACACUGAUCUUAGAUUCAGUAGUGAAGCCACAGUACUAACUGCGGGUUCAACAUAAAUCAGUAAUUUUGACUCAAAGUUUUAUAUUUUUAUUAAAUUUUUUCAAUAUGUACGUACAAAUAAUUUAAUUUAUUCAGAAUCUAGGUAAAAAGAGUUAUGAUUAAUUUAGCAAUUUGUGGGGUCGUUAGAGGGGAACAAAGAGAUGUUUGUUAGUUGUUGAAAAACCGUUUCACUAGUCAAAUGUGGAAAAAGAUUGAACUAGUCUAUGUUUAUGGUCCCACAAACAAUCAUGCUCCUCCGCUUCAUUUUAAUUGAUCUCUUAUUAAAAACAUUUAAUUAUUCUAUUUAUGAAAUAAAAAAGAUUUUAUUAUAUUCUUUCAAUACUAUUUGUGUUAUUAAAUAACUAUACAAAGUGUAUAUAUUUAAAUUAAAAUUUUAAAAAUAUAAUUAAUAAGACUAAUUUGAUAAAAUGCACUCUUAAUAAACAUAGGAUCAAGACAGGAAUUAGUAGAAAAUUUUUGACUAUUGAAUAUGAUGAAUGAGGUUCAAUGUAGAACUAAUUUGGAGCCAUAAACUCCAUAUCCAACUGUUUUUCUUUCUUUGUAAAUUAUUUAUUUACUUAAUAUUUGAAAGUCAACUAAUUUAUUCAAUAUGAAUUUGGUCACUAUCACAAUAUAUAGUAGUACUUUUUACAACUGAAUUUUCAAGUGGACACGUGAUAUUUUUCCAAUCGUCAUUUCUCAUAAAAUUUCGGGGGUGGUUAAAUGGUCUCCUAUUUUAACAAUUAAAGGCCAAAAGAAUCAACUUACUCCAAGAAAACAAACACACACAUUUGUUCUUUUGACCACAAAUAUAGUGUUGUUGAUAGGUACAUAUCACCUCUUAGCCAUAAUUAAAGACUUCUCUGGUUUGACCUCAUUUUAAAAAGGUGAUUUCUCUUUCUCUUUUUCCUUUUUUUCCUUUCAUCUUUUUCAACACACACUCCAUUAGCUAUUUUCAGAAAAUUUUAUGACACAAAAAUGAUGUCAAUAUGACAUGCCUUUGGAACUCAAUACUCUCUUAGGUCCUCAAAGUACAACCCAAGCCCAUUAAUUAGCAUGCCAAUCAUAUUAGUAAGCCCAUAAGGAUUCUGUCACCAACUUACAACAAAGACUGUAUCACAAACUACACUACAUUCGUUUCAUUUGGUCUACAAUAAAAUACAUUAUACAGAAUUUUGCCCAUAGUGUAGUUAUUAUGAUCUGCAUUUGUAGCCAAAUUUUGGAGUGAGUUAAUUAAAGUUCAAAUCAAAUGGUGUAAAAUUGCAGGAAUUGCCGGAGCAUAAGAGAGGAGAUGCAGUGAGUAGCAUGGUGUAUGAAGCAAACGCUAGAGUUAGAGAUCCAGUGUAUGGAUGCGUAGGAGCCAUUUCAUCUCUCCAACAGCAAAUCGAUAUGCUCCGGACUCAACUGGCCAUGGCCCAAGCUGAAGUGGUCCAAUUGAGGCUAAGACAAUCCACAGGCAUUAUUAAUAAUAGCCCACCAAAUAAUGACUCUCCCAUUACGAGCUCCCAGCCCAAAGGAUAUUCCCAUUUCCAUAUGGAUUUAGAUGUAGACCAGUCCAACUGCUUCAAUGAGCCCAUGUGGCCAUAUUAGUAAAUGAGUUUCGUCUAUUUUAAGUUCAAAAAUUCCCAUGUGUCCUUUUGCCUCUAUAUCUUUUUCUUAUAAAGGGCAAAGGUGAUGAUUAGGUUGCUGUUUGUGAGUGUGUUAGAAUGAAAUCAAACCCUUUAUGGGGUGUAUUAGCAUGAGUUCAUACAAAACCCUUCAAGUGGUGUUGGCCUUUUGGCCAAAUUGAUUAUACUAUUAUCUUUGUUCUUGUGUAUAUAUGUAACUACUAUAGUAUGUGAUAGGACAAUUUUCAUAAGGGGACAGUGUGUUUAUUUUCCAAACUUGUUGGAAGAAAGUCCCUUUUUACAAUUGACGAAUCAUAAAACUCAAAACUCUUAUUUAACAAUUUGAUAUCUGAAUUUCAUUCGAGAGUCUAUUCGAAACAACCUCUCCACAUUUGAAGUAGGGUAAGGUUCAAGGAUCGAUUCAGGAUUUAAAGGUUGUGAGUGCUCACUUUCUUUAAGGAAAAAAAAAGUGUGUUGCUACCAGAAAUUAAACCCACGCCACUUCAGGCAUCAAGGUGCUUUAGUUUCACACCGAAGCCAAAGCACCCAACAACCACUUUUGUUUAUGAGUGCUUAACGUUACAUCAUAACCGAUUUUACUGUAUUUUCUAUACAAAUAACAAAAAAUUUACCAGAGUCAGUGGGUGCUCAAGCACCUGGAAAAGAUGCAUGCAUCCGCCCCUGGUAAGGUUUGCGUACACUCUGUUCUCCCGAGACUAUAAUCCAUUUUAAGGUGGGGAAGAACUCCCUUGCAAAAUUUCUUUUCUCUAGAGUUUGAAUCGAGGUCUCUACUUAGGAUAAAGUGAUCUUAUAUGUCCCUCCACAUCAGUUGGUGAUGAGACGACAAUAUGUAUUGAUACUUACAAGACAAAACAACUUUCCCAAUGAAUCACCAAAACGCUACAUAUAGAGCUAAUUAAUAAGAAUCCACCACAAGAUCUACACAUAGUAUUUAGGAAAUUCUCAUUGUUUCAUAAUAUAAACAAGUGAAAGAGCAAUUAGACAUUAGAGUCAAUGAGUUCUCCAUUCACUAACUCUCUGUAAGCAGCAACAGGCCAGAUGAAGCCUCUCCAGACAAGCCUGUUAGCCAAUGGAACAUCAAUGAUGAUCUCCUUCAUUGUUGGCUUCUUCUCAUCUCUUAUUGCAAUCAAGUAGCUCCUUCCUACCCACCCAAUCCAUCCAGCAAUGUACAAGAAGAGGAUCCCAGGAGUGAUGAACUCACCCCAAUGCCUCUGGUCUCCACUCACUAUCAGGUGUGGCAGUCCAUCCGAUCCACACAAUAGUCCCUGUUUCGCGUAGUUGUCAAAUCUGCAAUGACAAUAGUUGAGUGAAUUUGUGUAAGUGAAAUAAAACUAGUUAUGUGACUUCUCCGUUACAAAAUAAAGUUGAGUGACUUUAUCAAGAUAAUUUCCGUUAGUUGAGUAAUUUCAAAGGAGUUUUGUCCUUCACUGGUGAGGGACAGCGAGACAGUUGUGCUUAUAUACAGAAGCACUUCUUCUAGCUCUUAAAGAAUUGAGAAGAGAGUCUUCCCGGCGCCAUCGUUGUCCCUCAGCUGGCUUGGGCUUGAAUUUGAAUUUAUGAUGUGAUUGACUGAUAUAUUUUUGGAUCAAAUUUAUUUAGUUAAUAUUUAUAUUUCAGUAACAUUUUUGUAAUUAAUUCCCAUGUUAUUGUUUUGUCGUAGCCAUAUUUUUCGUAAACAACCAUUUUCGCAAAGAACCACCAGGAAGAGUUGCAUCUCUUCGUUUGAGACUAGACUUCUGCUUAUAUAUAUCUGUCCUUUAAUUCAGAUUUUUACUUACGAUUUUUUUUUUAAAUAUUUCUCGCAUAUUACUUUCUGCUCUGCGAAGUAAAUUUGAAGUGUGAUUCAACUGUUCUUAAUGUUCGUUGAACACCGGUGUUUGAAGUAUCUUUGCACAAGUGACAGUAAUCUGCCCUAUCUUGGGAGGAAAUAAUCUUAUACCUCAGGUAUUAGGAACACUAUGAAUUUCAGGAGGCUCGAAUUAGUUUCAGCUUUCAUCUCAUGUAUAUUUUGUCAAGUCUUAGUUUCCAGGAUUUAUUUGGUUACUAACAGUAUUUGUGUUACUAAACAAAAUUCGAAUGAUCAUAUGCGAAAUUAACUCUAUGAUAAGGAAUUACAUAGAUGGAUUAAAUAAAAAAUGAUUACUAGGGGAAAAUGGAAGGUGAGACAAACCUGCGCUUAGUUUUCUCAAUAGUAGCAUUAAUAGCAAGUGCAGGAGCACUAUCAGGUGCAUAUAGCUUCAAAGAAUUCUCAAGCUUCUUGAUCUGUUGCUUCUCCCUCUUAGCAAACUGCUUUGACUCCUUGCAAGGUGUGAGUCCAGAGAUGUCAGCAGAAGCUGGAAGCACUGGUGCUGACAACAGAAUUGAAGACAAAGCAAGUGCUGCUGAGAAUACCUUUAAUGAGGAAGAUGUUUCAUCUGUUUUAGUAGAAGCAGGAGUUUGGUUUGAAGAGCAGACUAUUGUUGAAGUUCUUGGUUUUGUGGUAAACUGAGAACUAAACUUAGAUGAUGUUGAAAUGGGUUUUGAAAGGUUUGCAGGAAUUGUGAGAGACAUGGUGUUUUCUCCUCUCUCUUUUUAUGGUAUUAUUUUCAAGAAAAAAAGAGAGGAAGGAGGAGUGGAUUGGAGUGUGGAGAGUGAAAGGAUGUUUUUUUAGGAUAUUUGGAAGAAAGGAUUGGUAUUGAAGAGAGAGGAUAAAGGAGUUGAAGGGGAGCUUAGGUGGAGGGAUUUGAUUGGCUAAUUGAGUUGGAUUUUGUGAGAUUGGUGGAUUUUGCUGAAACUUUAUCUAUCUGUGAAAGAGCAAGAACCAGGGAUGUAACAGAUACAGAUACGCCUCCUUCGGAGCCAUAUUAUCCCUUGGAAUAGCUAGUAAGUUGCUGCCCACGUAAUCAGGAGGUCAUAAGUUCAAGUUUUGAAAACAGUUUCUAAUAAAAAUACAAGGUACGACUGCAUACGAUACACCCUUGUGGUGGGGCCCUUCCCUGGAUACCGCGCAUAGUGGUAAUUUUAGUACACUGGACUGUCCUUUAUUGGCAAAAUGGCUAAAUGGAUCCUUGUACUAUGUUCGUUUUGUAAUGUGAACACUUCUACUUACAUGUUUGUCAUCUGAAUCGUUGAAUUAAUUAAAAAGUAAUAUUUUAAGCCCUUUAUCGGUCUACUCCUUUGAACGUGUUGCACAAUCACGAACAUGUCAUCAAAUAUUUGAAAAUAAUUUUCACAUAUGAAAUAACGUGUCCAAGGUAUAAAUAGAAAAGUAAGUCCGAAAAAUUAAGUCAUUUUAGACCCUUCUUCUUCGUCUCUUUCAUCCAAAGUUUAAAAUUUCCCCUAUUUUAACUUAAUUUAGGUAGAUUGUUGUUGGUGGUUGUUGCAAUCCGUGUAAGUAUUUAAUAUUUUGUGGUAACUGUAGUAUUUCGUAGUUUAUUUCAGGCUCUUUUGUCGAUGUAAUGAAGUCCGUUUUAGUAAUUUUAGGAUUUUCGCCAUUAUGAACUUUUUUUUCAAUUUUUUGGGUGGUUUUGCUCUAUUUUAUAUCUAGUGUUGUUGUAGGUAGUAUGUGUAGUGGUGAUAUGCCUUCAAUGACAUAUUUUGAAAUUUUGAUCAAAAUUUAGAGUUUUUUCGUAAAAUGGUAAUUGGGUUCGAAAAUUUUUGAGCUUUUAAUUUUUUUUUUGUUGUCUAAUGCUCCUAUUAUACCUAUAUAUUACAGUUUUGUGCCUUCAAUGGUGUAUUUUAUUAUUUCGAUUACAUUUUAAAUUUUUUUUGGUAAAUUUAAAAUUAGGUUCGAAAAUUUUGGGGCUUGUGAAUUUUUUGUUGUUUAAUGCUCCAAUUAGAUGUGUGUAUAACAGUUUUGUACCUUCAAUAGCAUGUUUUGUUAUUUCGAUUACAUUUUAAAGUUUUUUUUUUUUGAUAAAAUCAGAAUUGGGUUUCUUAUUCCUUUAUUUUUUCUUUAAAAAUUAGGUCUUUAUGGAUAAUUAACUAAUUAUAUAUAUUAUCUUGUCAUUGUACAGAUUUUCUAAGUAAAUGGACACAAUUGUAACAAUUCAAUUCACCUAUAGGGGGGUCUUUUUGUCAGACCCUGAUCUAAGGUAUGCAAAUGAAGUUUGUAUUCUUGAAAAAAUUAGAGUAGAUGUAGAUGAGCUUCAUAUUAUGUUAUUUCAUAACUUAGCAAUAGAUUUAGAUAUGGAAAAAAAUAAAACUUUUUGAUGUAGAGUAAAUAAAAAGGGUUAUUAUUAUAUGUUAGAUAGUGAUGCUGAUGUUUUAAGAUUUAUCAAUAGUUUAAAAGUUGGAGAUUUUGUUAAUAUAUAUGUUGUUCACCAUAUUAGUGAACUUAUAGUUGUUAAUGAAGAUGUGACAGCUACUCCAUCAUUAUUACUACUUAGCAAUAGUAAUGUGGCAGCCCCUUUUAAAACUGAUAAGGUUGUGUGUCUUCAUCUCAUCCGUUGAAUAUAAAUGAAGAUGAGUAUAUAAAUGAAAAUCAGCCUCCUAAGGCAGACAAAGGAAAAGCUAAGGUUUCUUUAGAAGACUUAGGGGAAAGUCAAGUUAAUGAUUUCUCCACAUACCACCUUCAAACAUCUGAUUCUGAAUUAAAUUUUCAGACCACUGAUUCUGAUGUUGAUUCACUUUAUGAUAUUAAUGAAAAUAUUGAAGAGGAGUGAUUUUGACAAAGAGUUGCUUUAAGUUAGGAAGUCUAACAUUGAAAAACAAGCAAAAGAAAAGGCUGAUAGGGUAAAUCUAGAUGAGAUACCAUCUGAACUAGUAGGUAUAAAUGCUGGUUUUGAGGAAAUUUGUAAGAACAAGGGGGUUAGAUAUGAAAGUAAACUGGGUAGGGAUGACCCUUAUUUUGGUAGUUUAAAUUCGAAUAGUAACAUUAGUGAAGAGGAAGGAGAUCAUGUUGAUGAUGAUGAACUGGUAGAUCCACUACCUAGAACUUCAUCUAGCAAGAUCUACUUUGAUGAAACUGCAAAGAAGAUAUAUUUUUAGUUGUACAUGAUUUUUUGAAUGCUGUUGAAUUUAGAGAGGUACUGCAGACUUUAUUCAAAAAAAUGUGAACCUUAAAUUAAAACCUAAUAAAAAGAAAAGAGUAAAGGCAAAGUGUAAGCAUAAGGAUUGUUCUUGGGUUAUUCUUGAAAGUGUUGAUAACACAAAAAAUUUUAGUGUGAAAACAUACUUUCUUAUCCACAAAUGUUCUAAAAAGACAAAAAAUGAGAUGUGAGUGAUUCAUCAAUAAAAUUGCAUCAGAUUCAAACACUUUUAAGAAAGGACUAUGGAUUGUAUGUUAGUAAAACAACCCGUAGAAAAUCAAAAAUUAAAAUUAUGAAUGAAUAUUUUGAUGAUUUUGUUGAAGAGUUUGCUAGGUUGUAUGACUAUGCUGAAUAGUUAGGAUCACCAAUCCUGAUACCACUGUAUCUACUAGAACAUCCAAGAAUUCAAUUCCAAGGUGGUUAUAGGCAUUUAUAUUUGUCUUGGGGCCUUAAAAAGUGGAUGAAAAGAGGGUUCUAGAAGAAUAAUUGAUUUAGAUGGUGCCUUUCUCGAGGGUGUAUAUAAAGGUAUCUUGUUGUCUUGUAUUUUCAAAGAUAAAAAUAAUCACAUGCAUCCUGUAGCAUGGGCAGUGGUUGAUAAAGAAACCAAGGACAUAUGGUCUUGAUUUCUUAGGUACAUCAACCAUAAUUUGAAACUUCGAGAAAAUGGGGGUAAAGGCUUGACAUUAAUAUCUGAUAUGCAGAAGGUAUGAAGUGUCAUAUUUUUUUUAGUUAUUUUUUCAAUUUGCUUAGUGAUGUCAUGAAUGUUUAACUACUGUUUUACAUGUUUUGAUAGGGUCUUCAUUUGGCACUUACUAAGCUACUGUCAAAUGCUGAGCAUAGAUGUGCUAGACAUAUAUGGGCAGACUGAAAGCAGGUUUGGAGAGGUGAAAAAAGAAGGAAAAAAUUCUAGCAGGUUGCAAGGGCUCGAUUUAAAGUGUAUUUACAACAAAAAACUUAAUAAAAUGAGUGAGUUAGAUGUUGAAAUUGUGAAAUACUUGCUCAAAUACAACAAAGAGGCAUGGUGUAGGAUUUUUUUUUAAAGAAUAUAGCAGGUGUGAUGUGGUUGAGAACAACAUGUAUGAAACUUUCAAUAGUUAAAUUUUAGCUGCUAGGUUCAAAACAAUUAUCACUAUGUUGGAGAAAAUAAAAUGCAAAGUCAUGGAAAGAAUGAAUCAAAUGAGAAAUUUUUAGAAAAAUGAAUCAGUGAUGUAUCACCAAUGGAUAUGAAAGUUCUUGUAGAGAAUAAUAUGCAAUCAAGUGUGAGGUAAGGUUUAAUGGUGAUAUAGGCUUUGAGAUUGGUGAUCCACCAUAAACACAUGUUGUUAAUGUGAAGAGGAAGGAAUGUAGUUGUAGGUCAUGGCAACUAAAGAAAAUUCCUUGUGCACAUGCAAUUGUUUCAAUGCAUUACAAGGGAUAGAAUGUGGAGUCAUUUGAUAAGCACUGGUAUCAAUGAAAAACAUACUUGAAGGCAUAUGAUAAGUAUAUUCAACCAAUGACAAAUAUAAAGAUGUAGCUAAGAAGCACAAGACCACUAAUUGAGUCACCUGAGAUUACUGCCAUGCCACGAAGGUCAAGUAAAAAUAGAAAGAAAGCUAAGGAUGAGUCUAUUAAGAAAAAGUUUAGGAAGGCUACAAAAAAAGAAAGAAAAAUGACAUGUUUUGUGUGCAAGUCUAUUGGAGACAACAAGAAAGGAUGUCCAAUUUUGGUAACCUAAAACUUUUCUUAUUGAUGAAUUUUACUCUUUUUGAAUGUGUUUUUGAUCUUUAAAUAUUUUUUUGUAGAAAAAAGAUUUCAGUAGUAGCUGUGGCAGUCAACCAAGUGUGCAAGCUGGUGCUAGUACUGUUGCUGCUGAGAGACCUGCAAAUGCUUCAGCAGCUGAAGACAUGCCUGCAAAUGCUAAACCAAGAAACAGAAGGCCUGCAGGAAGGCCAACAAAUGCUCACCGUGUACCAAGAGCUGCAGAAAGGCCUGCAAAUGUUGCAUCAGUUGGUGGUGUGAGGCCUGCAAGUGCCUUAACAACUGAUAUAAGGCCUGCAACUGUUGUGAUUCCUGCAACCACUUCACCAGUAGAUGAUAAUACUACACAAUCUACAACUCAGUAGUCUACUAGUGGUGUUGGUGUCCAAAAGAGGAGGACUAGUACAACUUUGAGAGGUGGUGCAAAUCUUGCAUAUAAAAGAUCAAGGCAAAACAAAAUUAAUUUUGUUGUGCUGUUUGGACUAAGUGGCAACGUAGUGGAGAGGGUAAAUUUUCUAUCAUGUAAUUUUCAUUUAACUGGUAUUAAUUAGUGUAUCUAUAACUGAUUUUUUUUAUUUUUACAGUUUGAAAAUACUGAUAGAGUGUUACAUAAUCCAACACUUAUUAGUUCAGUUCCAAUCAAUAUUGACUUGGGUUUCAAACCAAAUAGACUGAGGCGGAAAGGUGGAGCUGCAGUAACUCAAAGACAACUACAAGAACAGAGUUACAACAGAUAAAACACAAAAUCAUCUACAACCACUCAAGCCACAUCAAGCACUCAAGCCAGCAAGAAUCAGGCCACAACAAGCACUCAAGGAACACAUUAGUGUAAUUCUCUUUUUGUAUUGAUCCCAAGUGUUGUUAAGAUAAUUUUUUAAGACUUCUGAUGCAUUUCUCAUUAAAGAUGUUGUUAAGACAAGUUUUUUCAUUUCAACUCUUGCUAACACAUUAUAUAUUGAAGAUUUCUAAGUUGGCAAAAUGGUGUUUGUCAUUAAAUUUGAAUUUCAUUUUCAUUGUACAUUGCAACUACAAAAAUUAAGUCAUCUUAAAUAUAAUAGAUAGAAAUCAGAUGACAACAAUAAUAAUAGUGAUAUCAAUGCUAGUGCUUGAUCUUUCAUGUCUUUCAUACCUUUCAUAUCUUUCCAGUCCUUCUUGUCUUCGUUGCCUUCUAUGUCUGCCUUUAUAUUAUUUAUUUUCAUCAGCACAUCAAAAGAAUCCACAAUCAUUAGCAACUUCAUAUUUUUGACAGCUCCAAAAUAUUUUUUCGGGGUUGAUUGGUAUUCUUGAAUCUUAAUUUCAGCGUAAAGCCCACAAUAACAUACCCGAACUGUCAUGGUGUUGUGAAAAAUUACAUAAGAUAUUAACAUUCCAAUAUUACAAACAGAACAGGAAAAAAAAUUAAGAAACAAGAACUUAGAGAGAGAAAAAUGGAGAAGAAGGGAGAAAAAAAAGCUCAAAUUGCUUCAAUAAUGAUGUUGGAAGCAUAUGAGGAAGAAGUAGCAUUUAUAAGGACUUUAUGACUGUUGGGGGACUUUUUUCGAUGGCUUACGUGCGCUUGAAGGCUAAACUAUUUGCUCCUAUGUGAUUCCAGCCACAUUGGAUGCCACAUCAAAAAAAAGUAUUUAAAAUGUUCAUUUUUAGUGGGUUCAAGGAUUCAGAUGAUAAACAUGUAAGUAGAAGUGUCUACAUUACAAAACAGACAUAGUACAAGGGUCCAUUGAAUUAUUUUGCCUUUUAUAUUUCAAUCUUUCUUUCUCACUUAUAUUUUUAGCUCUUAUCUUAAGGGGUGUUUAGCCAUAAAAGUUUUAAUAUUUUUAGAAAGAUCAUGUAAGAGUAAAAAAUAAUAUUUAAAAAUUAAAAUUGUGUUUUGAUCAUAAAUAUAAAUUGGAGGCGUUUUUGAAUUACUUUUCAAAUUUCAAUUUUUUGAAAAGUAUUAUCACAAGAUCAUAUACAAAAAAAUUGAUUUUCACUAAGAGAGUUAAAAAAAUUGUAUUGCUUGAGAUUUGAAUUUAGAAUUUAAAGUGAAUUUUGAAUUUUCUAAACUAUUGAUCCUACUCUAAUUUAUUGUUUAGGGUAUUGAAAAAAAAAAACUAUAUAGCUAGACAUUAAUUCUGCUAAUAUAUGCAGUAACGAGAUGAGCCUCGCCAUAGUACCAAAUUUAUAUGAAUUUAUUUAUGAUUAAUUAGGAGUUGUUAGAUUAAAAAAGUGAACAAAAAUGAAAGAGUUGAAAAAAAAAAGAGAAAUAUGAAAAAAAGAGUGGCUAGCCAAGAUUUUGUAGUUAUAUAGUUUUCUUUAAACAGUCUAUAGCAUCAAUGAUUUAGGAAAUUUAAAAUUCACUUUAAAGUUCUAUAUUUAAUCUCAAGUAUUUUUUUUUUUUUGAUUAUGAGUAGCAUCAAUGAUUUAGGAAAUUUAAAAUUCACUUUAAAGUUCUAUAUUUAAUCUCAAGUAUAUUUUUUUUUUGAACUCUUUUAGGAGUCGUUUGGUACACUGAAUGUGAUAAAUAAGAAUAUCUAAGGUGGGAUAUUUCAUAAGAUUAUUUUAUUCAUCUCUCUCCGUGGGACAGUAAUCUCAUUAUCUUAAUAUAAAUGGUGGAAUAAAAUAAUUUUGAAAUUAAGUAAUACCUUAUAUCAAAUAUGGGAUAAAGUUAAUUCUAAAUUUUAUCCCAAAAUUAUUUUUUAUCCCUUCUACCAAACGAUUCCUUAGUGAAAAUCCACAAUCUUUUCAUAUCUGGGUUUGUGAAAAUAUUUCAGAUAAAUUAAAAUUUAAAAAAUAGCAAAAAUUAUUUCUAAUCUAAGUUAUUCCUAAAAACUCAAAAACACUUGCAAUUCGUAUUUAUGAUCAGACAUAACUUUAAUUUUUAAAUAAUAUUUUUUACUUUUAAAUAAUUUUUAAAAAAUAUUUACACUUUUCAUGACUAAACACUCCUUAAAAUAAAAACUAAAAUUUGAGUGGGGAAGAUAGAAAUAUAAAAUAAGGAGGCAAUAUUCAAAAAAAAAAAAAACAGGAAACAGAAGGAAAUGUGAGGAAAUAUUGGGAGAGGAACAUUUGCUAAUACAAUGGACCCCACAAGAACAUAUGUCAAAAGCAAAAAGACCCUUACAUAACUAUUGUUGGGUGAGCCUCACCCAUUUUAUAAUUUUCCAUCACCGAAACUACAGAUCAUAUGCUACUGUCAUUUGCACUUUUUCCCUUGAAAUAAAUAAUAUUUUAUAAGUUUAUAAUCAUUUUAUAAUAAUAUUUCAUGAGUUAUGGUCCUCUCCUAUAAGGUAGUUGUCCCAGUAGAUAUAAUUUCAAUUGCGAAAACUCAAAAUUCGAUGGGCGAAUUGCAAUUAAAUGACCUAAUUUGUCAUGUCAUUUGAGGACAAAAUGUUUGCAUGGAUUGUUCUUGUUUUAAAGUGGUUUUCAAUUUUUGCAAUCAAAAUAAUAUAGUUGAAUUUGUUUAAGUGUUUUAAGGGCACGCGAGUUAGAUUGAUUAUAAAAAUGAAAUAACAAUGAAAUGAAUCACAGCAACAAGAUGUAAUGAAUACAAAGCAAGAAAAUAAUUAAAUUAGAUCCUAAAAUUGGGCCUAGGUGGCUUUGGUAUUCUCUGUCCGAAAGCUGAUGAAUUGAGAAACUGAGAGCCUUUUCUUAAGAAGAGAAAGUAUGUAUGAACAAGUGUGUCUUGUAAAAACUUUCAGAGCCUCGAAUGUUUGAUUCCUAAGUGUGUCACUGUCUUCCAGUUGAGCAGUAGCACUUUGGUUGUCGGGUUGGAAAGAUUAUCUUAUCAUCAUUACUAGUUACUGUUUCUGUAUCAAGAUUCUACCUUUCUGAAGUUAGACAGGCCAUGUUAGUAAGGCCGGUACCAAUGUCGAGUAUUAUAGGAUCCCUCCAAAAUUGGACAUCACUCCGAGCUCGGUCUUUUGGAAGGGUUCUUCUGGUGCUCCCCAAUAGUCCCUUCAUAGUCAGACGCAUGUAUCACAUCUUUCAUGUCUUUUUUUUUUGCAACAAAUGUGAAUAUUAACAUCAACAAAACAGUCAUAUAAAAAUAAUUUUUUUUUAAUUUGAGUCUCAUAUGUCAUGUAAUAGUUGUAUGAGGUCUUUAAUAUUUGACGAAAUACAUAUACAGGCCCUUGAAAUAUUUCACUUUUCCCGUUUAGACACCUAAAUUAAGAAAGGUACCUAUUGAACCCUUUACUCCUUCAGAAAUGGUUUCAAUUGAGCCCAAUUCUCCGAUGUGGCAGUUUGCGUGUACUCACAUCUGGGAGGCGCGUGAAAUGUCAUGGAACCAGCUUAUGUGGCACCCAACGGAUCUUUUAUCCUCUUUUUAUACCCAAUUUCUUAAAAAAAAAAAACCCUAAUUCCCACUUUCUUCCUCUUUUUAUACUCAAUUCUUAAUAUCCACCAUUUUUGUCUCCUAAAUUCUCCUUCUCCUCUUAAAUUUCUUUUCAGCCUUUUCUCUUGCUUCGCUUAAACUCUCCUACUCUUAUUAAUUUCUUCUUCUUACUCGUUUUUAGUAGUAAUAUCCAAUUCAUCUUUUUCAUUGUCUUCAUCUUCUUUAAUUCCAAAAGGAGUAUGUUUAUGUGGGGUGAAAGCUGAAAUUAAGACCUCGUGGACACAACUCAACACUAGUGGGAGAUUCUUUUACUGCAAAACUUCAAAGGUAUUCAUCUUUUGCUGCUUCAUUGGACGAAAUGCAAUUACUUCGAUUAGUGGAUGCAAUUUUUUAAUUUAAUUUUUUCUUUAAACCUGUAGGCGAGAGGUGGAUGCAAUUACUUUGAUUGGUAUGAUGAUGAAAUGCCCCCUCAAGCAAAGAGGGUGAUGUGGGGUUUAUUAAAAAAAUUCAAAUCAUUUGAAGAAGAGAGGAAUCGAUCAAGAAAAUUUAAAGUGAUAUGCGUUGGGGCGAUUGUGAUUUUGGCUACAUGGAAUUUCUUCAAGAAAUGUUCUUAGAUUUUGACAAAUAUUGGCUUAGGUUUCUUAUAUAUAGGACUGUUUUGAUUUGGAUAAUUCUGAAAUAUAUUAGUUGUAUUGGGACUGUUUUGCUUUGGCUUUCUUGUUGUAGUGGGAUUGUUGUGUAUGAAACAAUUAAGAAGGAAUGAAGAUAAGUUGUGAAAUGUUACUCUCUUACUAUGUUUUGAUUUUUCUUUACUUUUGUAAUUGGUUUAGUUAGAUUAUUGUACUCUAUUUUUUUAGAGUUCAAAUAAUUCAUUUAAAUGAUUCAAAGCUGUCAAAUGUUUAACACAAAAGGAACUACCAUUCAAUAAUUAUAUAAAGCACAAGUGCAACUGAUCGACAUUUUAAACACAAUAAUCUACCAUUCAACUGCUCAAAAUGAGCUCCAACCAUACAUCAAGUGUUCAUCCAAAACUAAUCUAAACAAACCACAAAAAAUAGUUCAGAAUCUUUAAAAAUCCCAACAAAAUACCAAAGUAGCCAUACAACUAAUAACCAAACUAUACAUUGUGCUAAAAACACAAUUAAUUCAACAACUUCAGAUUCCUCCUGGUGCACUAGAACUUUCAAGUUGGCUUCUUUUUUUACUGACUCAUACUCUGCAAUUGAGAAGUUGUGACGACAUUCUUUUCCUUCCACUUCAUUCCUCGAGGCUUAUAACCAAUAUCAAUAUUUGUUUGAGUUACAUCUUUGUAAACACCCAGAGUGACAACUGUUUCACUUCUAGUUCCAGGUUGUAUAAAAUGAAGUAAAAUUAGAUUUGUCAAAAGAUAAUUAAAAAUUACAUGAAUUGAAGUUGUAAUUCACACUUACAUUUAAUGUUUUACUGCAACUCAUUUGAUCAGUGUAGAUACCAAAUCCUACUGUCUUAGACCUCUUUUGUCCUACUGAUGAUGUUGAUGCUCCAAUGGUCAUUUUUUCCUUAAGUUGCUGAUCAGAUACACUUUCUUUUCCUCUACUUCUGCCAGUGCCUCUUCCAGAUCCUUUGCCUUUGCCAGCUCUCCUACCUUUGUCAGUAUCUCUACCUCUACCUCUACCUCUACCUCUUCCAGCUGGCUGCACUCUUAUAACUGCUGAGGUAUCAACACACAUAGAACUGCUGAAGCUUGGUUGCUGGCUGAAGCUUGGUGGCCUGCUAGAGCUUGGUGGCCUGCUAGAUCUUGGUGGCUAGAUGAAGCUUGGUGGUUAGCUAAAGAUUGGUGGCCUGCUAAAGCUUGGUGUCUUGCUAGAGCUUGGUGGCUGUCUGAAGCUUGGUGGCUGCUAGAGCUUGGUGGCAUGCUAGAGCUUGGUGGUUGGGUAGAGCUUGGUGGCCUGCUAGAGCUUGGUGUCCUACUAGAUCUUGGUGGUUGACUGAAGCUUGGUGGCCUGCUAGAGCUUAGUGGCUGGCUAAAGCUUGGUGGCCUGCUAGAACUUGCUGCGUGGCUAGAGCUUCCAGGUUGUCCCAUUCCAUCUUAACAAUAAAGGAUAUUAAAUAUAUAUUAUAAAUAUCAGAAUUUAAUUAUUGAAUUAAAAGAUAUGAGUGCAUUACCUGAGCUUUACAGAGAGUUCUGCUAUGACCAAUUUGAUGACAUUUGGAGCAAGAAAUUUUCAGUCCUUUCCAGGAUAGCUUCCCAUAUUUCUUCUUAGGCUCAUUCUUCCUUUUUUUCUAUUCUUUCCUGGUCUGCUAGGCAUUCGUCUAGGCUCAUGAGGAUCAAUCACUACACCACUUGUGUUAGGCUACAUUUCCAUAUUAGAUAUUGGCUGAAGAAAGUAGUCAUAAGCCUUCAAGAAUGUAUCUUUCUUAUACCACUCUUCCACAUAAAAUUCAGGCUCUAUACCUUUAUGCUGAUAAGCCAAUACAGCAUGUUGACAUAGUAUGCCUCUCAAUUUCCAGCUUCUGCAAGUGCAAGUCCUUGUCCUAAUAUUAACUAUAUGCCUAUAAGGACCAUCUAAAAUUCCAUACCCAAUCUGUCCAUUGAACCUCACUGUGCAAUUUCUAGCCAUAUCUUUAUUUUCUUCAAGUACUAGCAAAGCCAUAAGAGAGAUGUCUGAAAUGCAGGUAUUAACAAACUUCCUCAUUUCAACAUUUCUAUCCAUUAUCUUAUGUCUAAUCUCCUCUAACAUACAGAUUAUAGAUUUAUGUCUAACAGCUAAAAUUCAUGAAUUAAAAGUCUCACACAUAUUAUUCUCAACAAUGUCACAUUUAGAAUACUCCCUAAAAUAUGCCCUGCACCAUGAUUUUUUUCAUAAUGUAAUAAGUCCUCACAAAUAUCCUUACCAAGUUGACUGAGUUUGCCCAUCUCAUCCAAAAACUUCACUUCAAAACUGGAUUUAGCACACCUCUAAAAUUAUUUUCUUCUUUCUUCUCCUCUCCAGAUCUGAUGUCAAUUGGACCAGAUGUAUCUUGCACACCACCUCAUUUCACAAUCUGGUAACAACUCAAGUAUAGUAGGUACAAGACCUUACAUCAGUAUAAAUACAAAAUAAAAACACAAAAUAUAUGAACAUGGAAUGUAUAGUAAAUAAAUAGAAGACAUCAAAAUUAAAUUUUAAAAAGUAGACUAACCUUUUGCAUAUCUGACAUGACAGACAGAUCAUGUUCAAUGCCUAAGUUCAAAUCUUGAAUCAAGUGGUUAAUGAAGAAACUCCAGCUAUUUUGUCUUUUGAUCAACCACUGCUCAGGCUAUUGGAUACAUUUGAUUAUUUCCAUUUCUCCCAACUGCAACUAACAAUUCACCCUUGCAAGAACCUUUCAAAAAACAACCAUCUAACCCAAUAAUUUUUCUGCACCCUGCCAGCCAGCCUCUCUUUAAUGCAUCAAAGCACAAAUAAAAAUAAAUAAAUAGAUUUUUUCCAAGUUGAGACUCUCUAUCUAUCCUCACCCAACAAGAACUGUCAGGAUUAAUAUGUUUUAUCAUGUCUGCAUAGUCACACAACCUUGAAAAUUCCAUCUUCCAAUCACCCAAGAAUUCUUUAAUGAUUCUAUGCUUUGCCUUGCUACAAAUAGUUUUUUCCACAUACAAACCCAAUUUUUUUCUCACCAAUUCCUGAAUUUCCCACAGUUUUAUAUAAGGUUGUAAAGUUAUUUCAUCUUUGAACUUACUUACAAUAAAUUUAGAUGUGCACAAUUUAUUUUUAUAGUAGUAGUGCAUACAUGUACAGGAUAGUAGUGCUUGACAACAGAGUCACCAGAAUGCUUAUCAAUACUAGCAAACAACAACCAUUUACAUUUCUUGCCCUUACACCUAACUCUAACUCUAUGUUUCUCAUUAGGCUUAAGCUUCAAUCUAACUUUGUAUUCAACAGCAUACUCAACCACAACCUUUCUAAAUUGCUUAGCAUUUUCAAAUAUCAUACCAAGCUCAAAUAUAGCCACAACACAAUCAGAAUCAAAUCUUACUUUUUUUACUUUUCCUUUUUGCUGAUAAAUCAACACCCCUGACAGUUUCAGGUUCCAGUCCAUCAGCACUAUCAUCACUAUCAACUUCAAAGCUAUCUAUAUACUUAUCAUCUCCCCCUAAUCUUCUACUGUAUCUAGCAGUCUUAUUCCUUCCAAUAUCUUCAAAUCCCCUAUCAACACCUGCUGAUCCAAGUUUUAUUUUUUCAUUUUGGACAGAUUUCUUUUGUUUCACACAGUUUCUCCUUUCAUUUCUAAGAGUUCUUAACUCUUCAUCAUCCUCAGAAUCGUCAUCUUCUGGUAUAUUAAACUCUUGAGAAUCAACACUACUAUCAAGAUCUAUUUCAGCCCCUUCUAGAUCUGAGAGUUCAUCUGCACCAGAUUCUAUAUCUAUGUUGUCAGUUUGGGUAGGUUCCUCAUGUAACCCUUCAACAUUAAUAUCAUGAACUGUUGAUAUGUUCUUACCCACAUUACUAUUUUCACCAACCACAUUACUACUUUGAUCACCUACUGUACCACAAAGAAAACCAGAUGGGACCUCAUCUUCUACCACUUCUACCUCAUCCACAACAUGGUUCAUAUACAAGUCUAAAAAGUCCCCAUCUUCUAGGUCUUCAACAAGACUUACCAAAGUCAAGUCAUUUUCUACUUCAAUAAAGACUUUCUUUUUAGGGUCUUUAAAGUAGAACCCACCAACAGUCAUAUACCCAAAUUCUUUAGUAUAAUAAAACAACUUGAAUAUAGAAAAGUGGUCUUUGUUCGUACUUACAUAUUCCACCUCACUUUCUCCUAUGUAGUGUGGACCAUAUUCUUCAUCAGAAACAAACUUGCCACCAUGGUGAAAAUGAGUUGUAAUAAUAAUAUUAGCCAUUAGAUUCCUGAAACAAAAUUCCAAAAAUACCUGACAAGUUAUGAAUAGUAAAAACCCUAAAAAAAUCCUAGCUUUUUUCGGAUAUUCCCAAACUACAAUUACUAACGUAAUAUACUAACAAAGAACUAAUAAAUCAUUUACAACAACAAGACAUGACAAAAAUGUGACAAUAUUGACAUUUGCAACAUACCUGAGUGCGAUUCAAACACAAAACAAUAACAAUUUUUUAGAUCCAACUCCAGAUUCUUUGCAACCAAUAAAGAAAUGUUGAAAUCAGUGUCAAACUUGAACUAAUCACUCAAAAACACUAUGUAACUUUUUAUUAUACAACAAACGAAGCAUAAAUUAGUAGUAUUAGGAGUGAAAUCGCAAUUUUAGGGUUUCUGAUAGAUUUAGGGAUGUGUAUGAGGGAUUUGACGUUAUAAGGAGGGAAACGAAGUAGAAAUUAUCUUUAUGUAUUAAUUAAAAAAAAGGUGGGGUGUAAAAUAUAAUUGGUUAUAAUUGGUCAAAAUCUACACGUAGACGAUGACUACAUACACGCACUUAACACGUUAAAAAAGAAGGCUUUAAAAAGGUGUCAUGUCGGACAAUUGAGCUCAGUUGAAACCAUUUAUGAAGGGGUAAAGGGUUCAAUAGGUAUCCGUCUUAGUUGAGGUGUCUAUACGGAAAAAGUGAAAUAGUUAAGGAAUCUCUCUAUAUAUAUAGCCUUAAUAUUUUGACAAAUUAACCUUUUGGGUCCCACCUUUCGGAGAAUUCUUUCUUAUUUUUUCCUCUUCAUUUUCUUUUCUGUCUCAUUGUCAUUUAACUUUUUUUUCUUCAACAAAUAAUGUUUUGUGCUUUUGCUCUUUCUUUUUGGGUUAUUUUUUACUUAUGGUUUUCUUUAUUUUUCUUCAUUUACCCUAUUUCUUUCCAAUUUUUUUUAGUACUCUUGAUACAAGUAAAUUGAAGGUUUUUCUUUUUCCUUUAAUUUUUUAUUUGUCAAUAUUUAUAUGCAAAUUAAAUGAUACUUACUUUUUUAUUUAUUUUUUUAGUUUAUUUUAAAAAUAUUAUUUCUUUGAUUUUUAGAUAGUAAGGUAAUAUUGUUUCCAUUAGUUAGUGUCUAGUUAGAUUUUGUAAUUAUUUUAAUCCGAAAUAUAAUUUUUGAUAUAUAUUUAAUGAUGUGACAGUUCCUAAAUUUCCAAGAAAAGUUAUUUUAAAAAUUAAAAUCAAUAGUUAGAUUUAUUUAGGACCAACUCAUUCUAAAUUCAAUUCAAUUCUUGAAAGACCGCCUGGAAAUAAUUUUUCUAUAUAGAAAAUUAUCUUAAUGAUUAAAAAAAAAGAUGAUUGCUCUUCCAUUUUUAACAUGCUAAGUAUUAUACAUGUCCUAAUAACAUUGAACCAUGAUAAAUAAUAUUAUAUAAAUUCAAUUAUAAAAAACAGAUUUAUCACUUAUCAAAUUUAAUUUUAAAUUUUCGAUAUUCAAAUUUUUCAACACCAACAAAAAGAGAGUAUAAUAAAAAAUAGAAAUUAUUGUCAUGAUUGAAUGGCCAAAAUUUUAUUUUCUUUUUUUUAACAAAUAUGAACAAAUAAUAGUUGGGAUGAAAAAAAAGAUUCAUUCUACUUAGUACCGAAACAGGAGGAAGAAAAAUCAAUUUGUGAAAAAAGACAAAGAAAGAAUAAAAAACAGUAAACAAAAAAGUAACCAAAAAAAAAGAGCAAAUAAUGUUUUGCCCCAAAAAAGUUAAUGAUCGAAAAAGUAAAAUAAAUAAAUGAAUAUAGAAAAUGAUCUGAUAGUGGGACCCCAAAGUCCAUUUGUCAAAAAAUUAAAGACCUCAUAUUAAAAUUUUACAUAUACAAACUAAAAGCAUCUCGUCUCAUCUCCCACUUCUAGAAGGUUGUACUACUAAUUAGGCCUCCAGGAAACAGAGAAGUGUGGUACAAAAAUUAAUUCGUCUGUCUGCUCUCUUUCUAUCCCUAUAAAAUUCAAUUCUCUCAAUAAUUUCGCAUGUGAUUUGCCCCACUGUGUCUGUACAUAGUAUGUCCUCCUACUUUGCAUCCUUGGAUGAAUACUGGACCUUUAAAUUGAAUCCAGUUCCUUGCUUUCCAGAUGUAAUACACCAUAGUCCCCCAUAAUGCAGCUGCCGCUUCCUUCUUAAACUUCUUCCAAUGCUCUCUUCUAAUCAGCUCAAAUGUAGUCUUCACAUCUCCUGCGGACAGUGAAAUAUUGGAUUAUUAUAUGAGUUCAGCUCUUACCAGUGCAGCAUAUAUAGCCACAGUCAACAAAUAUGUGGCUACUACGCUCUCCAUUGUAGAUGAUUGAAAUAGGCGGCAGUUGACAUUUUCUAUGUACAUGUUCAUAUGUAGUAAUCUUUCCUUCGUAAGCAAUCUGUUCAGCAAGGUAACCACUAGUAAUUGAAUACUUUAGCAGUAAGGAUGAAUUGCCCCCAUGCAUCAGUGUUUCAUUCUAUCCCUUAUAAAAUUUAUUUUCCUCCAACACCAGCUACUUGUUAUUUUCGUUUGUACUUUGGGUACACAGAAUCAGUAUAUGCAGAACAAUAACUUCAACUAGAGUUCAAGUAUAAACAAGAACACAAUGAAGUAUAUCAAAUACUCUCUAACACAAGAUCGAAAUGACCUUUUCAAGAGGUGUAUUUUAUUUUUUCAGAAAUUAAGAUGAAACAGAAAAUAGCCAAGUCAUCCGAAUUCACGAAGUUUCUUUAAGGAAAUAAUUUCCCUCACUGUACCCGAGGUUAUAGAAUUUUUCCUCCUAGAAUAAAAUGGCUAAAUAGAUCAAUUGUAGCGGUACCUCAAACGGUUGGAAUAUCUUCGAACGCACAGGACGUUUUGAUUGAUCACAUAGAGUAAUUUGGAAGACAAGAAGUAAUUUUGUAUUCUGAAAUUUUCAUAUCAAAACCUGUGGAUGAAAGCAGGUUUAUAUAGCCAUAACAUGUCUCUUCUGAAAAUAGGCAAUGGUUCACUCCAAAGGUUACACCUUUGCUGUAAGUUCAUGUCUGUUCAUCAAAGAUUGCAUCUUUUCCUGAAUAGUCAUCUCAUUUCAUGAAUCAGUGUGUCACUUCAUUGAAGGAUUACAUCCUUCUGAAGCAUCAUUUCGAACCAUUGCAACUCAGUUUAAAACAAUAUAUCAUUUCUGAAGCACCAGUUCAAAAACAAUGCAUCAGUUCACUUGAAACAGUGCAACUGUUACUGCAUCUAUAUAUAAAUGGAGAUCCUAAACACUGCAGAAAAAUUUUACUGCGUUUUUCCUUGGCAUUCUUCGGAAUUCAAAUAAAGUUUGUCCAAAAAAAUAGAUCUCAUCGAUCAAUCAUUAUCCAAAUCCAAAGCCAAGCGAGCAACGAUGAAAAUGGCGCAAGACAUCUAUUAUUUCUUGCCUCACUUGCCAUGUGGAAUAAAUGUUCUUGAUUAUAAAUACUUUCAAGUACUCUUCUUCCACCAAUGUGGGAGAAAGAGUAAAUUAUCUAAUUUGGAAGUACACUUUUCAUUUUAGUGUCUCCUUCCCCUCCAUCAUUUUACUCUCCAUUUUUUCAUUCACACUUCUUUCAUAUACUAUGAACCCAACACUACUAUCUGCUGGCUUCUGUGUCCAGAUAGUGUCAGUUUUGAUACAUAUUUCGGGUGCCUACUUCAGCCCCAAAGACUCCUUCUUUACAACUACUUUCCACAAAACCUUGCCUACCGAUGCCAAGUUCCAAUUCUCACACAAUAUUCAAACCACCCUGCUUUUUGGAGACACUUUAUCCCAAGCUACUAGUGCUACCUUCCUUUUCCCUCUAUAAUACCCCACAAGUAAUCUCUAAAUGUCUUAUCUACCUCCUUCACUAUACUAGGGGGAAGGAGAAAAACUGCAUUUUAUUCAUCCAUCUGUCAAGACCGGUUUUACCCCAUACUACCAAAGCGGCCAGCAAAAUUUUGACCAUACUGCUUUGAGCAAAUCUUCCUGAGCAAAAUAAAUGGUCUGAAAUUUCCACUUUCUUAGAGUGGGGCAAGCAAUACAAGAAUCUUGAUUGGAAGAUUAUAUCAAAAUUUUGAGACCUUUUCAUCAGUUGGUACCCUGUCGUAUGAAGCUCCCCACCUUACAAAUGUCAUCUUGAAAAAUAUUAUUGUUUAUGCCACAUUUUUUGGGCACUUACUUGAUUGUUCUUUCUUCUAAAUUAGGAGCUCCCAUGCUGAGGCUAGUGAGAACCUGCCAUUGAUGUUAGCCAACCCUAGUACUCUAUCUGGAGCUGCAUGGAAUAAGGUAAUGUGGUGUUGUGCUACCAUGCCAUAUUGCCAAGUGACAUUGUCAAGUGCCUCCUUAAGAAGGGAUAUUUCCGGCUUUUGCUCCAUCAGGUAAAUGACUAUAGAGCAUUCCCGUUUUUGUUCAGUUGUCAUACCAGAAUGAUGUUUUUACCUUUCCAGGCAGGCAUGCUAUAUUUUCCUUAACUUCAUGCUUUAAGUCACAGAGGGCUCUCCAGCCGUGUGACUGUUGCCCUGAUAAUUUUCAUGGAUCGUACAUGUGAAAUAUUUGGUUUGGGUGGAAAUGAAUUGACUCUCAUCUAAGAGAAAACACACUGCUAGUUAAUUAUAUUAUGUCGCAGCAUUAAUGGAGACACUCUUUAGAUGCCCGGUCCCCUUGCCAGCCACUAGAACUUGGGAGGGCAAUUUCUGUUGAUCCUUGACAAGCCAAAACAAUUUCCAAAUUAAUCAUUUAAAAAAAAAAAACAUUACAGAGCCAAGAAGCCAUCAUCUAACACAAGAUCUAGCAACACUUAGUAUAGAAAAUUCACAAUCUUUCAUUGAUAUAAACAAUUGAAAGAGCAAUUACACGAGAACAUCAAAUUAGACAUUAGAGUCAAUGAGUUCUCCAUUCACUAACUCUCUGUAAGCAGCAACAGGCCAGAUGAAGCCUCUCCAGACGAGCCUGUUAGCCAAUGGAACAUCAAUGAUGAUCUCCUUCAUUGUUGGCUUCUUCUCAUCUCUUAUUGCAAUCAAGUAGCUCCUUCCUACCCACCCAAUCCAUCCAGCAAUGUACAAGAAGAGGAUCCCAGGAGUGAUGAACUCACCCCAGUGCCUCUGGUCUCCACUCACUAUCAGGUGUGGCAGUCCAUCCGAUCCGCACAACAGUCCUUGUUUCGCAUAGUUGUCAAAUCUGCAAUGUCAAUAGGUGAGUGACUUUGUAAGUGAAAUAAAACAUGGACUCGAGUAUCAAGGAGUUGGAAUCAAAUGGAAUGUUCUAUUUUUCUAUGUUUACUUAGUCUAUGUCAAUGACUUAUGCAAGGAAAAGUUGAAAAUCUGUUACAAAAUAACUUGCCAUUCUUUCAUAAGCAAAUUUACUUCGUGCGCUCCUAUAGGGAGAAGGUGUUGAAGGUGGCCUCGUUUUCACACUUUUGGUUGGAUAAACGGAAGCCAUCAUCUAACACAAGAUCUAGCAACACUUAGUAUAGAAAAUUCACAAUCUUUCAUUGAUAUAAACAAUUGAAAGAGCAAUUACACGAGAACAUCAAAUUAGACAUUAGAGUCAAUGAGUUCUCCAUUCACUAACUCUCUGUAAGCAGCAACAGGCCAGAUGAAGCCUCUCCAGACGAGCCUGUUAGCCAAUGGAACAUCAAUGAUGAUCUCCUUCAUUGUUGGCUUCUUCUCAUCUCUUAUUGCAAUCAAGUAGCUCCUUCCUACCCACCCAAUCCAUCCAGCAAUGUACAAGAAGAGGAUCCCAGGAGUGAUGAACUCACCCCAGUGCCUCUGGUCUCCACUCACUAUCAGGUGUGGCAGUCCAUCCGAUCCGCACAACAGUCCUUGUUUCGCAUAGUUGUCAAAUCUGCAAUGUCAAUAGGUGAGUGACUUUGUAAGUGAAAUAAAACAUGGACUCGAGUAUCAAGGAGUUGGAAUCAAAUGGAAUGUUCUAUUUUUCUAUGUUUACUUAGUCUAUGUCAAUGACUUAUGCAAGGAAAAGUUGAAAAUCUGUUACAAAAUAACUUGCCAUUCUUUCAUAAGCAAAUUUACUUCGUGCGCUCCUAUAGGGAGAAGGUGUUGAAGGUGGCCUCGUUUUCACACUUUUGGUUGGAUAAACGGAGGACUAAACGAGUUUUUAUGAGCAUUAUCGGGUUCUAGAAUAUAUAUCAAAAAGGAAUUCUACAUUUUUAUAUUUCGGAGCUUUUUAAUUUUAAGCUUCUUAUCUUACUCGUAUGCUAUCAUAACUAUAAAAAUGUAAUGUCUGAGAUCACAAUUCUAAGAAUACUGAUAAGUGAGACUUGAGCACCUCCACCAAACCGGUAAGUGGGAUCACUGUUAUUCUCACCAAAAGAAGAAUCUAAGAAUACUAGUCUUUAAAGAAGAAAAAUUUGUACACAAUCAAAUACAUCCACAUAAAGUGUAAGAAUAUGAUUAAAUAGAAAAUGAUUACUAAGGACAAAGCAAGGAAAAUUUAGCAUAUAAGAAAGAAGGGAACUUUCAAGAUUCUUGCAAAAUUUAAAAGAAAAGGUAACAAAGACAAACCUGCGCUUAGUUUUCUCAAUAGUGGCAUUAAUAGCAAGUGCAGGAGCACUAUCAGGUGCAUACAGUUUCAAAGAAUUCUCAAGCUUCUUGAUCUGUUGCUUCUCCCUCUUAGCAAACUGCUUUGACUCCUUGCAAGGUGUGAGCCCAGAGAUGUCAGCAGAAGCUGGAAGCACUGGUGCUGACAAAAGAAUUGAAGACAAAGCAAGUGCUGCUGAGAAUGCUUUUAAUGAGGAAGAACUCUCAUCUGUCUUAGUAGAAGCAGGGGUCUGGUUUGAAGAGCAUACUAUGGUUGAAGUU
rnacentral:lncRNA from 1 species